GCUGGGUACGAUUAACAACAUGAAUGCAUAGGGAUCCAGUACAGUUUGAGUUGUCCGAAGAAUAAAUGAUGCACACAACCAACCUUCCUAUGUAAUCAAAAGUAGGCGGCACUUCAAUUUCGACAGUUUCAUCCUCUCGCGCGACAUAGGGUAACCAGGGAGGAAUAUCAUUUACAGAGAGAGAAAGUCCAUCAAUUGUAUACCCCUCCCAUUUCUACAACACGAGGUGCAAAGUUAGUAUAAGCAACAAUACGAAAAUCAGAGAGGGAGAGCGAAAGUUCCAUACCAAUAGGAUGUUCUCCUUAAAAGUAGCAGUGAGACUGGCGCACCCUUCCAUAUGAAGGGUAUACAUGUUGCACAAGAAGUUAUCCAGGUUUGGAAUAUCUUUGAGUUUGCGGCAGUUUUUCAGUUGCAAUCCAACCAUUUUCGACAUCUCUGGAAGGCCGGGCAUUAUUUCCAGUUCAGUGCAGUAAUUCGCUUCCAGUCUACGCAAACUUGUAGGCAAAUCUGGGAUUGCCUGAAGGUUUGUGCAAUGAUUUAGAAACAAAGAUGUAAGCUGGGAAAGGCCACUGAGGAUGGGUAGCCUAUUAAAACCAUUUCCCUCUAGUGUUAAAAUCCUUAAAGAAGAUAGACUCCGAAGGCUUUCAAGAAUGGCAUCAUCCGUUAUAUUGCAGUCUUCAAGACCUAAAUACUGAAGCAUCUGCAACUGUGCAAAUAAAUGGUAACCCCAAGACACACUCUUACAGCCGUAGAGGCUCAAAACCUCGAGAUGUGGGAGUUUUGAAAAGUCUGGUAAUUGAGUCAGGUUACGGGAAUGAUUGAGAUAAAGAACCUUCAACUUCUUCGGCAACUGUUUGGCAAAAAGAUAGAACAAAAAUCAUAAUCCAUAUUAGAGAGAGAGAGAGAGAGAGAGAGAAUGACUGUCGACUGAUGUUGGUAUUUACAAACACGGACGAGGAAAGGAUUAAUAAUUUGGUUGAGGUUACGACAAUUAUAUGUAUCGUACCAGAUCGGAAUCCUCCCAAACUCGGACAAGCUUGCUGUACCUCAAGUCAAUAAGAACUAAGUUUCGUAAAUCAAAAUCAUCGGGUAUGACCUCUAGAGGAAAUCCCUGCCAACGCAAUAAUCUUAACUCCUUGGAAAGAUGACGGUAGCUUCCAGUGAGCUUUACAUUUUUGAGUCGGAGAAAUUUCAGAUGCCGCAUCUUCUUAAAUGCUUUUGUCCGGAAGGGAUGCUCAUCAGAAUUUUCUGGCAACUCUAAAGUUAGCCCUCUAAUUGCUUCCGUUCCCUGUUGGGGGAAAACAAGAACAAAUCUAAUUCAAGCAGAGCCAUGACUAUCUAUGAACGAACUACAAAUGCAGCGCAUACAAUGCAUUAGAUGUGGGAUAUGCAUAUGCUUCUGUUUAUUUACAUACAUUCAACAUAACAUUUUUAUUGGGAUUUGGGAAAGCACUUACAGAUUCGUCUCUUAACACGCUUGUUACGUCUUCAUGAUGCCAUAAUCGACUACGUUUUCCAGGUUCCAUAGCACAUUCUGCCCGCACAAUUUCUCUUCCCAUGUCUCGAAUCAAAUCAUGCAUCCUAAUGAAUCCUAAAUCAAAAUCUACAAGACAUCGAUCUUGAAUGGUUUUGAAUUCUGAUUCUACACAAAAGUGACUGCAACUAUCCAAUAUUGCCACGACUUCAGUUUCAUCCCGGUUAAUAAAGAAAUGAGAUAUGUCAAGGACACACCUUUCACAUGAUCAUCACUUAGCCCGUCAUAGCUUAAUCUAAGUGUUUCAUGAAUUUUUCCAUCAGGAAUAUUUCUCAAUUUUUCCAAUGUACUUUUCCAUAUGCUUUUACUCUUUUUCGUAGCCAACAAACGGCCUACGACUUUAAGAGCUAGCGGCAAUCCUCCACAAUAAUCGACAACAUCUGUUGCGAGUUCAAUAUAUUCUUCAUCAGGACAAUGAUUUCCAAACGCAUGCCAACUAAGGAGCUCAAGAGCUUCUUCAUCCGUCAUUGUUUGUGCCUUAUAUUUUUUUUCCACCUUCUGUAUAUUCAGCACUUGUUCAUCUCUUGUUAUUAAAAUAAUCCUACUUCCUGGACCAAACGAGUGAUGUUCUAUCGCCAAUUCAUCUAAUUGGUCCGCAUCAUCUAUGUCAUCAACUACGAUGAGUACCUUCAUGCUUCCAAGUCUUUUCUCUAUCUCCUUGGUCCCUUCGGCAACACUACUUAUUUUAAUGUCAGGCCGUUUCAAAAUAUCUCGAAGAAGUUGUUCUUGCAGACUAACCAUAUUUUUCUUUUUACUCCUCACCUCUUCAAGGUAACAUUGACCACGGAAACUAUGAUGGUAUGUGCUAUAAAUGGUUCUCGCAAGCGUUGUUUUACCUAUGCCGCCCAUACCCCAAAUUCCAAUUAUUUGAACAUCAUGUGAACCUUCAACAUCUAAGUAUUUAGUACUGAAUUCUUCCACGCGAAAAGCUAUUCCAACUGAGUGCUUGGCUUCUUUUAAGUCGCUGGUUUUUAGUAGUCCGAUGAUGUCCCCAACAACUUUCUGGAUAAAUACUCCUUCACGCCUGCCAAUUGGAAAUCCAAAUUAUGCAAACAGAUGAUUAAUCAUGCAACAGCAGGAUUCAUAUGAACUAAAUGCCUUAUGCAUCACGACAUGGCUGAUUAGUGAGUAUCCCAAAAGCUAAUUGUACAAGAUGUUGCAAGCGAUUAAAUUUUGUAAAAGAGGAAAUUAGAAAUGAUACCUGUCCGCAGUGGUUUCAAGAUUCCGGCCAACCAAAUCUGCAGAAGCCUUAAGAUCCUUUCUCCACUGCUCGACCUCAUUUGGGUCUUCAUCCCUUUCAUGCUUCUGAAAUGCUUCCCCAAAACUACCACUCUGUUUCCUCACUUCAGAAGGGCCACUCUGUUUCCUCACUUCAGAAGGGUCAACGUCGUAGAAUAUUGGAUAGACUACUUUCCCCUCUUGAUCUUCUCGGCACCUCAUGAUCUUCGACAGCUCCCUCAGGCACCAUCGGGACCCCGCGUAACUCUUUGAGAAGACGACGACCGCGACCCUCGACCCUUCGAUUUCUUGGUCAAGUUCUCUCUGUAUAUUCUCCCCCUUUCUGAGCUCGUAGUCUAUAAACGUGUUGAUUCCGGCAUCGCGUAACGCUUUGAAGACGUGGUCUGUGAACCCAGUGCGUGUGUCCUCGCCUCUAAAGCUCAGGAACACCUCGUACUUCCAGCGGUUUGAACGCCGAGAGGAAGAGGAACCGCCGGCGGCGGCGGUUGCAAGGGCGAGGCUGCCGGUAUUCAUUGAUUUCAAGCAAAGAAGUGAAACUCCUGAUCGUUUCAGUCUAAAGAAAACAAUUCUCUCCCAAGAUUCCCAGCGAAACUCCUGAUUAUUGUUUUGGAUCGCUGGAAGAUGUGAGAGCAAAAAAUAAUGAAGAAAGAAGAGGGAGAGAAGAUGCAAGAUGCGGCUGAGUAAGAAAAGAUGGGAGGGAGAAAAUAAUAACAAAAACUGGGAUUGAAUUAAGUUUUCAACAGACAAAAUAAAUACUAAAGUGAAUAUAUCAGGUUUGACUUUUUAGUGUAAAAAUAUAGUUUUUUGUUUAAGUAAACAGUACCGUUGACUUUUUGUUAAAACUCGCAUAAUAAUAUACCCACAUUUGUAGUAAGAAGGCUUUUCUUAAAAGACCUAGCUUCUCUGUCCUUCCACUUUCCAUAUACUUUCAUCCUCUCUUAUUUGUACGAUCACGGUUAAGUCACGUCUACAUUUUAUAUUCUUAUUAUCUCUAUAAAAAAAUCAAUAUAAAAUGUUGACACUUAACCGUGAUCGCAAAAAAAAAAAAGAAUGAAAGUGUAUAAGAAGUGGAAGAGCAGAGAAGCCGGUCCUUUCUUUAUGGGCUUGAUUGAUUAAGUCUAAUCUACCAAUAUAUUAUAUUUAAUAGGCCUUAUUGUAUAGGUUGUCAUUGUCGACGGCAUCGCGAUCAUUAUUCAAAGCAUAUAAUCAGUUUUUAAUUAAGGUGGAUUACUGUUCUGAUUGGUUUGAAACAUUCAAACUAUUAAAAUGUAAUAUAGUUUUGAAUAAUUGCUAGUGGACGUAUUAAACGAGAGUGCGAGAGGCACGAUAACGAUUCUUAUUGAAAAAUUUAAUCCAUAACACAUGAUGCAAAUUAAUUAAAUACAUAUUCAUACAGGCCAUGAAAUUUAUAAAUCAAGACGUGCUCAAUUAUCAAAUUUAUUAAAAAUUUCUAAGUACCUCAUUAUUUUGUUUGGAUUGAUCAGUUGACCCGAUUAAAAUGCCCACCCUACUUGAGAACCUGCAUUUACAUCGAAUAUGAGAACUUGGCUAGGUCUCGUCCAUGUCCUUAGUACAAUUAUCCAUUAAUGGUCAUAUAUAAUGUAAUGGCAUUUUUUUUUCGAACGACCAUAUUUGACCAUCAAUAAAUGAUUGCAAUAAGUACUUCAAUCCCUAGCUAAUAUUAUUAAACUCGAAUCGCAACGUUUACAUCGAAAAUCAGAGUAUUAAACAAUUCUUGCUCCACGGUUACCUAGUGUCCCCAUUAAAAUUGAAAGAAGGCUACAUGUGCUCUUAGCAAAUUAUUAUUGGCACUUCAAAAAUCUCAUUUUGCACUCCAAACUUUCUAUAAUUAGAAAGAAAAAUAUACUUGUGAGAAGUGUAGAAUGAGAUUGUUGGACUGCUAAUAACAGUUCCCUAAAUAAAUAAAUAAAAUUAAUAUAUAUUCGGUUCGGUUUUAGAAUCAUUGAAACCGAAACCAAACCAAAUGAUUUCGGUUUGAUUCGAUUUUUUGUUCAGUUCGUUUUUUAGGUUUCGGUUCAAUGUUCCGUUCAUUUUUUUUCCUAUUUUUAAUCCACCCUUAGUUCACGACCUUAUUCUAUUUUAAAGGUGGUGUACAGGUUGGUUCAACUGAUGUUGAUGGACGUCAUGGGUUUAUGAACAAACAUGACAAGGUUGCACUGGACAUGGCACAUGUUUGUGGGUUUUGCAUUGAUUGAAUUGUAUUUUAAAUGCAAACAGAUGAGCCAGAGUUUGGCAAUCAAUGCUCCAAUUAGGAUAAAGUCUGAGGACCAAUUUUAACAUUAACAAAACAUAAUAAUAGUAAUAUGCCACUUAUUCAAUAUGCUAAUAUUCAAUCUGAUUUUAAUGAUUCACAUGCAACGAUUUCAUAGUCACAUGAUGUUUUAAUAUUGUAUGUAUAAUUUUUUUAGAGACAUCACGCGACGAAAGGCCAGGGUUCUGCUGUCCCGAACUUUGUGUCUCCUGCCAUGUCUCCUUCUAAUUAUGUCAUUUAACUUAACUCCCAAUUUAACAGUGUCAACUUUUCUUAAUUAAUAUUUAUUUAAAUACAAAAACUGAUUCCCCAAAGAAAAUUGAAAAUCAAAACAAAAAGAAAACAAAUCCCAACUGGAAGUCCGAAAGUCUGCAGCUCCCUCCAAUCUCAGUCGGCGGCAAUUCACACGGCCGUUGAAGCUUCCAUUACACUCUCUUUCUAUAUCUCACCAGCGAAGUCCCGUAGGAUGAUUGAGUCAAACCUUCCCGUAUAUUAUGAUCUCGCCGUUUAUUGUCAUCGAGUCGAUUCAAAUCUCGUUUCUAUAGAUUGACCAAAUUUCUUCCUUGCUUCCUCAAACCAAAAAUUACAUAAAAUUUGAUGUUUGACGGGCCGGGUUGAUCACGAUUGGGUAUUUGAACGGAGAAAAAAAUGGCGAACAGAGAGAAAAGGAGGUUUCGCCAGCCGUGGAGUUCUCCGAUGACAGACCGAUGUUGUUGGCUGUCGAAUUGGUGUUGAUGGGAAUUUGAGUGGCUGUUGCUUUUAAUUUUUUAACUUUUAGUUUUUAUUUAUUUAACCUUAUUAAACAUUUUUUGACAAAAAAAGCCUUAUUAAACAUUUGACACUGUUAAAUUACAAGUUAAAUUAAAGGGUAUAAUUAGAAGGGGACAUGAAAGGAGACACAAAUUUAGGGACAUCAAAUCCCUGGCCGUGUAAAGAGGAUGAGAGCCUACGGACCCUAAUGAGCUUGACCACUGGUUUGAUUGAUGACUAAGAAUUAACAUCUCUUUUUAUGUGACUUGAAGCACAAUUAGGUUUGAUAUAAAAUAAUACAAGAAAGUAUGAACCUAAGAAUUUGUAGUGGAAAAUACAAAAGGUUUUUAAUAUACCAAAGAAAUAACGUAUCAAUCAUGAGUUGUACGUUGUUUUGUAUUUGUCACUGAUGGAUUAGUCAUCGUCAUUGUCAAUGUCAUCGUCAAACUCAUAUGAUAUAGUAUGAUAAUCCUCCUCACUAGUAUCAUUAGGCUCUAUAUAGUACACGUUUAUAAUGCACCAUAUUCACUCCUGAACGAAAAAAGUAUAGGAAAACAAAAAUUGGUAGAAAGUGAGAGACUCAGAGCAGUUCCACCGGAGCUUUGUUUGCCCAUCACCCAGUAAAAAAAAACACACUGAGGGUCUGUCCAUUCACUUCAGCCAACAAAGUUGCCUGACACCCAACCCAAGCCAGGCAACAAACCAGCCCAUUUUUGACAGACCCAAGAGCCGGCCUAUUUGGCUGGCGCGUGGCCGCGAGUAGGAGACAAGGUUGCAGAGGGCUGUCAACCCACUUGUGCUCCGGAGCCCCAUUAGUGACGUGGCAUGUUCAUAGCCGUUGGAUUUCCAACAGUAAAAAAAAUUUAAAAUUUACUUUUAAACUGGACCGUCCGAUCACAAAUCAACGGUCCACGUUUUUUACCCCAAUACAGAAAAUUUUUAAUAAAUUUAGAUAUUAUUAUUAUUAUUAUUUUAUUUUUUAUAAAUUCAGAAAUUAAAAAUAAAAUUAUUAUUUUAUAAUAAAAAUACUAAUAUUUUAAUAAAAUGGACUAUGCUAUUCUUUGUUAGGGGUGGAGAUGCUUUGGCCUAUUACUAUUCACUGAGGUCUAUUACUGUUCACUUGAGUAGAUAAAUGCGCUGGGUGCUGGCACAAAGUCCUUAGGGGUGGACUUGCUCUUAGUGAAAAAGAAGAGAGUGGUAUUUUGGGAGAAUGAUUCUACGAUCUGUAUGUUCACAUAGAUGUGAAUUAUACGUAUUACAAUUUGACCUUGUACAAACAUUUAGGGCACGUUUGUUUGGCCGGCUUAAGUUUCACUGGACUGGACUACUAAGCUAGAAUCAGUAGUCCUGUGUUUGGUGUAAAUUGGGAUUGUGUUUAAUGGGAUUAAGCCGGACUCGUGCCGACUAAAUUCUUCGCUAGGUGGGCUUAGCGAGAGCCACCAAAAACGAGGGGAUUUGUAGUCCCGCUUCUGUUCUUCUCUUCACCUCAUGUUGCUUCGCUUCACCCCAGGCUUGAACGACAACUUGCGGUCCCUUUCUCUGACUCUCUCUCUCUCCUCCUCCCUCUUCUUCAUCUCAGAAGAUCUCCAAAUCUGCAAUUUUGGGUUUGACGGAAACGAAUCCAAGAAAUCCAAGCCAUAGCCGUCUCUCAUUUCCCCGACUCCACAAACCCUGACUCGUUGCCGAACAGCUUGCCAGGCAUUGUUGCAGGCUGGUUCCGCCGCUCCACAGGCUUGCGGCUCCGAUUGAAUCCACGGACUUGGAAAGCUCUCUCCAGUUGUAAUCUUGCACCGAACAAAAACCUGAAAAACCAAGCUCGAUUCUUCGUUUUGCAGAAAAAAAAUUUGGCAAUUAAUCGGAAAAAAAGAGGACAGGAAUGAGAGAGUGGGACGGAGAGAACGAGGGAGAUAAAGAGGGAGAAAAGGAUGAGGCUUCCACAGAGAGAGGGAGAGUUUUAUUAGAAUAAAAAAGGUAGAAUUAAUUAAUAUAAUAUUAUUAGAUAUGAAUUAAAAAAUAUAAUAUUGUAGUUUGCUAUUAUCCUUCUUUUUAGUCCGACACUGCACCAAACGCUUCACUAAGUUAGUCCAGCUUAGUCUAGUCUAAGUCAGUCCAGCUUAGUCCCUGAAGCUAGUCCAGUCUGAGAUAGUCCGGUGCAACAAACGCACCAUUAAGUGAUUCAUGUAUUUGCUGAAUAGUUCAAAUUCAUCGCACUCUUUUCAUUUCCUCAAACAAAACAGAACAAAGAUAGACUCUUAAUUCAUAAAAUGUGGAACAUUUGUCCUUUUACACAUACAUAAUAAACGAAGCAUGUAACAUGUGUUUCACUUGCUUAAUUUGUCGGAAGUUCUCAUGCAAAUGCUAUGCAUUUUAUAAAAUUCUAAUACCAAUUCUAUACAUCUCGUCAAAGAGAGAUAAAAACACGCCACACAAGGGAAAAAACGAAGAAAACCGACUUGACUGGAUUCGACACAGGUAACUUAGAGCCACAAGUGUAACUACCAACGAAACUCAAUCUGGUUUUAUGAGAUUGUGAGAUUCUUUUGGGGUUACCAAGUGAGUCUUCUGCAUGAAAAGGAGGGAAGUCUUUGCGAAUAUGCUUGCAUAAUGUAACAACGUGAAAUCAGCGGCGUAAUUGCACUCUCAAACCCUCAAAGCCGGCCUUUCCCAGGACAGAUUCUUUGCCACAAAACUCGACGCUCUGUAUGCAAAAUAUGAGUCGCUCGGUCAUGCCCGCAAGGUGUUCGAUGAAACGCCCUACAGAAGUGUCUAUCUCUGGAACGCCAUUCUCAGGAGCUACUGUAGAGAGGACCGAUGGGAGGAGACCUUGUGUUUAUUUCGUAACAUGAUGUCUGAGUCAAGAGGUAAUGAUGAAAAGCCUGAUAAUUUCACCAUUCCCAUUGCUCUGAAGGCGUGUGCGAGGUUAAGGGCGUGUGCGAGGUUAAGGGCGUUCGCGUGUGGAAAAAUAAUACAUGGGUUUGUGAAGAAACAUGAGAAGGUUGCAUUGGAUAUGUUUGUAGGUUCUGCAUUGAUUGAAUUGUAUUCCAAAUGCGGACAAAUGGGUGAGGCUGUGAAAGUGUUUGACGAGCCGACAUUCACCUCUCCUAGACCCUACGUAAAGCGGGAGCCUUGUACACUGGUACGACCUUUUAUGUGUUUUUGUAUACUUUUAUGGUUACUGGAUAUGAGCAGAAUGGUGAUCCUGAAGAAGCAUUGGAGUUUUUCUCCCGAAUGGUGAUGGUGGGGCGCAUUAAUCAUGACCGAGUGACGCUUAUUAGUGCUGUUUUGGCUUGUGCUCAGUUAUCAAAUUUUAGAAUUGGAAGUUUUGUGCGUAGUGUUUCUAUUAGGAAUGGGUUCAACUCUAAUUUAUCUUUAGGUAAUGCGUUGCUAAUUCUAUAUGCAAAGACAGGUUCUGUCAAAACUGCCGCUAGGUUGUUCAUGAAGAUGCCGGAAAAAGAUGUGGUUUCUUGGAGCUCCAUGAUUGCGUAUUACACUCAUAAUGAGGAUGUAAUAGAAGCGUUAAAUCUUUUCAACGAAUAUUGAUAUGAGAACCGAACCUAAUUUAGUGACUCUGGUAUGUGCAUUGCAAGCAUGUGCACUGGCAGGUAAUUUAGAAGAAGGUAAGAAGAUCCACGAAAUUGCUACUAAGAAGUGUUUCGAGUUAGAUAUCAAGGUAGCUACAGCCCUGAUUGAUAUGUACAUGAAGUGCUCUGCACCCGAAAAAGUAGGUGAUCUCUUCAAUAUAAUGCCAAAGAAAGAUGUGGUUUCGUGGGCUGCCUUGUUGAGCGGGUAUGCUCAUAACGGAAUGGCAUACAAGUCAAUUGGGGUCUUUCGCGACAUGUUAUUAGACAAAACUAAUCCUGAUGUCGUUGCUAUGUUCAAGCUUCGUGCAGCUUGUUCGGAAUUAGGGAUUCUUCAACAAGCUUUUUGCCUCCAUGCUUAUGUGAUUAAACGCGCCUUCAAGAAUAACAUCUUUGUUGAAGCUUCACUCAUAGAGUUAUACUCGAAAUGCGGCAGCAUAGGCAAUGAUGUCCUAUUAUUUGAAGGGAUAACAGACAAAGAUGUCGUUAUCUGGAGUGCAAUGAUGGCAGGUUAUGGAGUUCAUGGGCAAGGAGAAGUAGCUUUAAAAGUAUUUGAUCGGAUGGUUAAGCAUUCAAAUGUCAAGCCUAAUGAUGUAACAUUUCUCUCGAUUUUAUCUGCGUGUAGCCAUUCGGGUUUGGUUGAAGAAGGCAUUGAGAUAUUCAACACGAUGUUGCAUGAAUACCAACUUAAGCCAUGACCUGAGCAGUACGGGAUAAUUGUUGAUCUUCUUGGCAGGACAGGAGAGCUGGAUAAGGCAAUGGAAAUCAUUGAGAGAAUGCCCAAUCCAGCUGCACCGCAUAUUUGGGGAGCCUUGCUUGGUGCAUGCCGGAUUCAUAAUAACACAAAGCUUUGAGAGGUUGCACCUAAGAGUCUUUUUCAGUUGGAUCCUAAUCAUGCAAGGUAUUACAUCUUGCUGUCGAAUAUAUAUGCCAUCGAUAACAAAUGGGAAAAUGUGACAAAUCUCAGAACUUUGAUAAAGGAGAAGGUGUUAAAGAAGAUGUCCGGGCAAAGCGUUGUCGAGGUGGGGAAUGACAUCUGUAGUUUUGUUGCCGGAGAUAGAUUGCACCUUGAUUCCGAUCAGAUUUAUGAAGUGCUAGGAAAUUUAGAGGUGAAAAUGAGAGAGGAAGGUUAUGUUCUCAAUGUCGAUCUCCUGCUACACAACAUGGCGAAUGCUAUCUAGAUUAGAGCGAGGGAUGUUGACAUGUAGAGGAAAUGAAUCCGGUAGAAUAGAAACAAGAGAUACGCAAGGCUCCCUUGAAAGCACUACACGCUCAUCCUCACUAGCUGACGUGGGACUCAAUCACUUGGCUCAAAUCUAAGCCACCAAUCUCCACCUUGGCGUGAUUCAAAUGCAAAUGCAAAUAGAGCUCCACCUUGACCACAGACACCAAAUUUCAAAUGAGCUCGCCCUUCAACUUCAACAAGCGUUGCCUAGGGUCUAAUACCAAUUGUUGUGCGGAAGCACACCAUCGGGUCUUACACACACGAGUCGGUAUUGCCGAUAUUCCACCUACUUUAUCCACACAAAAAAGGGUAUGGAUUUUAUCAAAAAGCCUUGGCAACAUGUUUUGUGUGAUCAUUGCUUAUAAAGCACCACAUGGUCAUCCUCAGUAGCCGAUGUGGGACUCCACUUGGCGCAAAUCUAAGCCACCGAACCCAACAUUCAUCAACCAGAAGGAAGAUUGAGUUGAGAAAAUUUGAAAUGUUAUACACACUUAUACGCUAUUUUUAGUUUGUCAUACAACUAAAAAUUUGAGUGAUUUGUCAUAUCAAUUUUCCAAAUUCACGAAUUUGUCAUCUCAACUUAAUUUCGUUAAGUUUUUUCAUGCAAAUAAGUUGCAAUCUUUGAGAAUUCAACAUGGUCAAUCAUAUAACGGAGUUAGAGUAAUAUGACAAAUCAAUAAUUUGUAAAUAUCGACAUGACAAAACGCUUAAAAUUUUAAUUCAUAUGACAAAUAAAAAAAAGUGUAUAAAUUCAUAUAACAUUUCAAAAAAAAUUCCAUACUGAAUUUGCACGGUAUGAUUAGUAACAAUUAGGGUUAAUCACAUACAUCAAACAACUAGGGUUAAUUAUAGGAGAGAAAAUAAGGGCAACAAUGGGAGUGGACGAAAGGUGAAAGGGGAAAUUAGUUUCUUUGAAAUGGGGUGGGGGGAGACCUACAGAGGGAUAAACACGACACAAACUUGCAUGUAAAUUUCUCUAAUGUAACUAAUGAAUCAAAUAAAAAAUCAUUAAUUUAUUUGAUAAGAAUAUAAGCUACUUAAAUGUUUAAUUAAGAGCUCGUUCGGCAUUGCUUCGCUAAAAACGCUUCAGCUAAAAGUGCUUUUAUUAUACCCACAUUAAAUCUUAUUAAAAAAGGAAAACUAAUUAAAAGGGUUUGAAAACUUUGAGUUUUAACGAUAAGGACAAAAUAAAGGGUAAAAUGAAUAGUAGCAGAUUUGACUUUUUAGUGUAAAAAUGUGAUUUUUCAUUAAAGUGAACAUUACCGUGGGCUUUUUGUUAAAACUCCCUAUUAAAAAUUCAAGUACUUUAUAAAAAGACACUUUGGAAUGCUUUCUUUCAUUUCCCGAUUGUUUCUUCUUCAUCGUUAAAGCUUCCAAUAUUGAGAUCAGAUAACCUUAAAUCUGUUGCAAGGUUGGACCUCAUCAGAUGAGUAAUCGCUUAACUCUGAAUCGUCGUCAGAGUCCUCCUCAUCAAACUCAUAUGGUGUAGUCUGCUAGUCCUCCUCCUCAUCAGUAUCUUCAUCAGAAUCAUAUGGCAAACGCUUAUAGUCCACUUCUAUCAGAUCUGAAAGUACAUAUUCCCAUUCUACGAUAUCCACUCCUAUUUUCUUCACCUUAAUUUGAUGAUCAUUAAAGUAUGCAAGCACACGAACCCUGUCGCCACCUUUCAGAUUGAGCUCCUUGUUUGUAAGAUUUCCCAUCCAAAGAUAACAUUCAUGGGAAGCAGUUACGGUGGCCUCCAUUGGCCAAAUGUGAAAACGAGUUCCCAGGGUACGAUUAACAACAUGAAUGCAUAGGGACCCAGUACAGUCUAACUUGUCUGAAGAAUAAAUGAUGCACACAACCAACCCUCCUAUAUAAGCAAAAGUAGGCGGCAUUUCAAUUUUGACAGUUUCAUCAUCUCGCGCGAAAUAGGGUAACGAGCGAGGAAUAUCAUUUACAGAGAGAGAAAGUCCACCAAUUACAUCCCCCUUCCAUUUCUACAACAUGAGGUGCAAAGUUAGUAUAAGCAACAAUACGAAAAUCAGAUAGGGAGAGCGAAAGUUCCAUACCAAUAUGAUGUUCUCCUUAAAAGUGGUAGUGAGACUGGUGCACCCUUCCAUAUGAAGGGUAUACAUGUCGUUGUUGCACAAGAAGUUAUCCAGGUUUGGAAUAUCUUUGAGUUUGCAGCAGUCUUUCAAUUGCAAUAUAAUCAUUUCCGACAUCUUUGAAAGGUCGGGCAUACUUUCCAGUUCAGUGCAGUAAUUCACUUCCAGUCUAAGAAAACUUGUCGGCAAAUCUGGGAUUGCCUGAAGGUUUGUGCAAUGAUUUAGAUAUAAAGAUUUAAGCUGGGAAAGGCCACUGAGGAUGGGUAGCCUUGUUUGGGUUAAAACUUGAAAUUUGGGCUCAAAAGGGAGUUGGCCCAAGAGAAGGUCUAGAAUGAGAGAAGCCCAAAGCUCAGCCGAAGCCCAGAAAGCAGAAGAGGCCCUUUCCCGACUAAGUGCAAAUCAUUUGCACCACUUGCUCACCUACCUAGAGGUUAAGUGGUGUAGACCAGCUAACUAAUCAGCCCAAAAGUACUUUAUAAUGGCAGUACAAGUAAAUAGUUGAUGAGUCACUGCCCUUCAAGCUACAUUCAGGCAAGAUUAAUGCUACAGGAGGCCAAGCCAAACUGUCUAUAAAAGAAGAAAGAGAAAUCAGAGAUAAACACACUCAAACAAACAAACAAAUACACAAACUCUGCUCAAACCAGAUUUGCAUACAAAGCUGUAGUCAGCAUCAAGCCUUCAUCCCUUUCGGGAUCAACCUUCACCAAAAGCCUUUGUAAAAGCUCUGCUACCUUGUCUAAAUCUUGCUCUAGUAUCAAUUUCCUUCUGUAAACUCACCUCCCUAUCCCCCUCUCUAGCUCUCAAACCCUUUUGUAAAUCACAAAGAUAGGAAGUUGCAAGACGAUCAGCCUUGCCCGACCCUCUUUGUUUUUGUCUUUUCAUUCAUAAAUCUAGUAAUAUGUUGUAUACUGCCAUUUGUAUCCAAGUUAUUUCUAGCAAGUUUAUGAUUAAAAGACUUCUCAGUUCUUGAAUCCGAUCGGGUUAAUAGUGCCCAACCAUGCAAAAGAUAAGUUGGAAUAUGCACUCGCAGCUUAAUAAGAUCUAAGUUCUAAUCUCUCGGGCGUACAAGAUUGAUUAUUCAAAAGUCCUUAGUCUCAAGGCAUAAAAAAGAACUUUAUGUGGACUUAAUCCAUCCACGACAAUCCUUGAUAACAAGAAGUCCGAAGUUGCUUGGGGCGCAAGUAAUCGACUUAUUUAUUAGUUUUAUCUCUGUUAUAUUAUAAUCAUCAUAGAACGUUUGAGAAUAGAAUUAAUUCUGAUAGGAAGCCUUAAGGCUUAUACCUAAGGCCCUACAAAGGCACCUAUUUGAGUUCAUUCUGCUCUUCAGGCUCGGGUGAUUAGAAGUAUAAUAGUUAUAAUACUCUGCAACAAUGAAACAACCAUUAUAUGUUCGAGUACUUGGUUAGUUCUUGAUUGUGAGCCUCAAGGCCUACACCUAAGACCCCACAAAGGCACCUUUCAUAACUAAAAUAGUCUAUCGGGCAUAUAUAAAAUUAAACUCAACAUCUGUUUUACAUCUGCCAUAUUAAAGAUGGCAGUGGCACGCCUGAGCACUUAAAAGUUAAUUUUGAUUGUGAGCCUCAAGGCCUACACCUAAGGCCCCAUAAAGGCACCUUUCAAAGUUAACUCUGUCAUUCUCUUUCAGCCUUGCCUGACAGGCCUUGCACGACAAGCCCACCAGUAAGCAGAAGCCCGACAGACAGUAUCAACCGGCGCCAACCUCUCGGGGAGCUGUGUGCUCGUUCGCUAAGAAACGUCCUCAUCGGAAAUUUUAGUGACGAACAUAGUUUUGGCACGCCCGGUGGGAUUCGUUAAUCAGAUCUUACUUGCCAAAGAAAUAUGUCAAGAAAACCUGAAGAUUUGAAAAGGGCAGUUGUUCCAGAAAAAUUUAAUGAAGACUUGCAAACUACCUUGUUGCAAAUGUUGCAGAGAUUGGAAAACGCCUCCACGGGCUUUAGAAGGAAAACAAACCUGGUUAUAAAACCAACUAUUCCUAUAUCUUUACCUCUAGUUGGGGACAAAGAUGAUGGGGAAGAAGAAAGAGGAAAAACCAGCCAGCCAGAGGAAGCAGUGGUGGAUAAAUACACAGAUCCUUUCUCAGAGGCCCUAGUAAAUAUGAUUAAUUUGGCAUGGGCCGAGAAGGGGAAAGAAAAAGUAGCAAUGGAAAUAGAAGAAGGAAAACCGGGUGACAAAUCCACAAAAGGGGUAAUCAAAGUGCCUGAACAUCCAAAAGCAGCUAUAAUCAAAGGGAUGGUUCUUUGCAGUAAAUGCCAAUGUGAGUGUGAGCUCGAAAUACCGCUAGCUGGAAUCCUCAUGGAUCAUGAGUUGAUCAGGAGGAAAGAAGAAGAAGAAAGAAAGGAGGCCCGCGAGAAAGCUAGGAGGACAACAGGGAGAGAUACUUCCCGAAGUGUUUUUCAGCGGUUAUGAGGUGAUUCCCAACCUAGAACUUUAUCAGAAAUAUUUCGAAAUCAUGAAGCUUCUGAGGAGGAGGAAGACAAGGAGGCCAAAAAUCCAAAAGAGAAGGGUAUAGAGCAUCCUCAAUAUGGCCAUAUGGGAAGAGAAGUCAAGAGGAAUGAUAGGAUAACAAAUCCUGUCAAAAAAUAUAAUCCUGCCCGCCUCGGGCGAAAAUGGUACAUGGUUGGAAAUAAUGGACAGCCCACCAAACAAAUGGGAGCCUCUAUGGUCAUAAGGGUCCAAAGGCAGCACAAAGCCUACAUGAACUUUUUAAAGAACCCCGCGACUUCUGAAGCAUCCAAGAAUCAAAAGUUUGAAAAAACAUCAUCUGGGGGGAGUAGUCAGUUCCACUGGAUAAGUAAAAAAGAGGUGGAGAGGGCUAAUAGCAAAACAGAAGGCGAGGGAAACCAUGUACCACAAAGCCUACAUCCUGGAAAGUACAAAAUAUUGAGGAGAGCUCAAGAAGAUAUGAUAAUGAUGCCAACUCCCGGAUGGAAGACAUAACCUAUUUGUUUUGGAACUGUUUCGCCCGAAAUGAGACCACUUUCUCUAUUUUUGGUGGAUUCUUUCGGUAAAAUUCCAAAGCAAAUACCGCAUUCGGGCAUGAAUCAACAGGAGGGGGCACCAGAACCACUACUCCCAAAAGAUGCGAUGACCUGGUUGGAUGAGUUCAUGGGCCAGAUCGAAAGCAAGAAAGAAGACCUUCCAGAGCCUAGCAAUUUUCAUAUCAAUAUGGCGUAUGUGUUAUCCGCCAUGUUUGGUGUCGAGCCUAAUCAGCCCGCCACUAUGGAAGGGGACUAUAUGACAACGGAGCCAAUGAUGGCCCAUGUCAGUGUUGAGGUAGCUGGAGAAAGAAAGUCGGGAAAAGCUGAAUCAUCUGAAGCAUCCAAUGAUGGUCCUUUAAGGAUUUAUACAGAUAAAAUGGUGUUCAGUCGCCCAAACAUGUUGCUAGCCAACCACCUUAAGCCAAUAUAUGUUGCAGCACAUUUGAAGGGGGUGCCUUUUAAAAGAAUUUUAAUUGAUGGAUGAGCGGCUGUUAACGUACUGCCAGACAAGCAAAUGAAGAAGAUGAGGAGAUGUAUAAAAGAUCUUAUUCCCACGGACCUCACGGUUUCAAGCUUCUCGGGCGCCAUCACCAAAACUCAUGGAAUAUUGCCCUUAGAAGUGGACUUGGGGUCCAAACAAAUCAUGUUGGCAUUCUUUGUGGUGGAUUGCACUUCCACCUAUAGAGCAUUACUUGGAAGGGACUGGAUCCACCAAAGUCUCGCCAUACCCUCCACUCUACAUCAGCAAGUAGUUGUUUAUCAUGAGACAGAGACAGAGGGACCAGGCUUUUGGGAGAUGGUAGAGGCCGAAUCACGGCCAUUUCUCCUUACAGCCAAUGUUGCGGAGGCAAGUUUCUACAAUCCCAACGUAGGAAUUCUGAAAUGUUCAUGAGCAGAUGAGAACGGCCGCCCUACCAAGGUGACGGCCCAAAAGCUCUUAGAACAAGGAAUGCUCCUUACUAGAGAGGAGUGGGAUAGACCCUGUAUCGUCUCAACGCCCCUACACCAUCAAUGACAGAACAAAAAAGGAAGGAUCAGGUAAUGGUAGUUAAGUCCCUGAUAAAAAAACUAUUGGUAUAUGGGAGAGAAAGAAAGCAAGAAAGGGAGCUCUUAGAGAAAGAAGAGCAGGAAGGGUAGCUAGGAACUCCAACCAACCAUGGUGAAAUCGGAGAAGAGCUUUACGGAGAAGAAUUGGAUGUGGCCAUACGAAUGGCCGAUUGCAUAUAUGACUUGGAUGGGCCAGACGACUUGCCCGAAAGCCCGGAGUUAGUUGAAUUUUUGUGCACAGAACCUGACAAAGCACUUCCAGAGGUUCAGGAUCCUUUGGAAGUCAUUGAUUUGGGAACAGAAUGAGAUCCAAGACCUAUUAAAAUUAGUGGCUUGUUAGAGACUAAUGAUCAGGCAAAGAUUAUCUGUCUUCUACAAGAAUUUAAAGAUUGUUUUGCUUGGCACUAUACUGAGAUGCCAAGUUUAUAUUCAACCUUGGUGGAACACAGAAUGCCCAUCAAUGAGGGGUAUAAACCUGUUAAGCAGACGUCACGAAGGAUGUCAAAGGAAAUAGAAGAAAAGGUCAAAGAAGAAAUUAAAAAACUAGUGAAAGCUGGAUUUAUUAGACUUGCCAAGUAUGUAGAAUGGUUGGCCAACAUUGUACCCGUUUUAAAAGUUAUAACUAAAGCAGUACGAUGUUGUGUUGAUUACAGAAAUAUUAAUGGCGCUACACCAAAAGAUGAAUACCCCAUGCACAUGGCUGACCUAUCCAUAGAUGCAGUGGCAAAACACAAAAUCUUAUCUUUUAUGGAUGGAAAUGUCCGGUAUAAUCAGAUAAAGAUGGCCCAUGAAGAUAUACAAAAAUAGUUUUUAGGUGUCCUAGGCAUGUGGGGCAUAUGAAUACCUGGUUAUGCUAUUCGGGUUCAAGAAUGCUGGUGCAACCUACCAAAGGGCAAUGAAUGCCAUCUUUCAUGAUUUGAUUGGCCAGAACAUGGAGGUGUACAUCGAUGACAUCGUGGUGAAAUCCAAAACAGAAGAGCAACAUCUAACAGACCUCAGGCAAGCUUUAACAAGGAUGAGGAUCCAUAAGCUAAAAAUGAAUCCAAAGAAGUGCGCAUUUAGAGUGAGAGCGGGCAACUUCUUGGGAUUCCUGGUUCAUAAAAAAGAAGUAGAAGUGGACAAGAACAAAUCUCGGGCAAUAAUGAAGUCGCCUUCACCCACCAACAAAGUACAACUUCAGAGGCUGCUAGGCAAAAUUAAUUUCUUGAGGAGAUUCAUUGCCAAUUUAGCGGGCAAGAUCCAACCACUGACUCUUCUGCUGAGACUAAAGGAUAAAGAAACUUUCGAGUGGGGACUACCACACCAAAAGGCUUUUGACAGCAUCAAAGCCUAUUUGACUUCUCCACCAGUGUUGGUACCACCUCAAAGGGGAAAACCCUUAAAGCUAUAUAUCUCUGCUUCAGAAAAAUCAAUCGGGAGUCUACUAGCUUAAAACAAUGAAGGCGGGAAAGAGCAGGCAGUGUACUACCUCAGUAGAAUUUUGACUGAGGUAGAAACAAGAUACUGACCAGUAUUUCACUCAUAUAUCUAGUAAUAUGUUGCAAGACGAUCAACCUUGCCCGACCCUCUUUGUUUUUGUCUUUUCAUUCAUAAAUCUAGUAAUAUGUUGUAUACUGCCAUUUGUAUCCAAGUUAUUUCUAGCAAGUUUAUGAUUAAAAUACUUCUCAGUUCUUGAAUCCGAUGGGGUUAAUAGUGCCCAACCAUGCAAAUGAUAAGUUGGAAUCUACACUCGCAGCUUAAUCAGAUCUAAGUUCUAAUCUCUCGGGCAUACAAGAUUGAUUAUUCAAAAGUCCUUGGUCUCAAGGCAUAAAAAAAAACUUUAUGUGGACUUAACCCAUCCACGACAAUCCUUGAUAACAAGAAGUCUGAAGUUGCUUGAGGCGCAAGUAAUCGACUUAUUUAUUAGUUUUAUCUCUGUUAUAUUCUAAUCAUCAUAGAAUGUUUGAGUAUAGAAUUAAUUCUGAUAGGAAGCCUCAAGGCCUAUACCUAAGGCCCUACAAAGGCACCUAUUUGAGUUCAUUUUGCUCUUCGUGCUCGGGUGAUUAGAAGUAUAAUAGUUAUAAUACUUCUGCAACAAUGAAACAACCAUUAUAUGUUCGAGUACUUGGUUAGUUCUUGAUUGUGAGCCUCAAGGCCUACACUUAAGGCCCCACAAAGGCACCUUUCAUAACUAACACAGUCUCUCGGGCAUAUAUACAAUUAAACUCAACAUCUGUUUUACAUCUGCCAUGCUAAAGAUGGCAGUGGCACGCCUGAGCACCUAAAAGUUAAUUUUGAUUGUGAGCCUCAAGGCCUACACCUAAGGCCCCAUAAAGGCACAUUUCAAAGUUAACUUUGUCAUUCUUUUUCAGCCUUGCCCGACAAGCCUUGCCCUACAGGCCUUGCACGACAAGCCCACCAAUAAGCAGAAGCCUGACAGACAGUAUCAACCGGUGCCAACCUCUCGGGAAGCUGUGCGCUCGUCCGCGAGGAAACGUCCCCAUCGGAAAUUCUAGUGACGAACAAGCCUAUUAAAACCAUUUCCAUCUAGUUUUAAAGUCUCUAAAGAAGGUAGACUCCGAAGGCUUUCAAGAAUGGCAUCAUCCGUUAUAUUGCAGUCACUAAGAUCUAAAUACUGAAGCAUCUUCAGUAGUGCAAAUAAAUGGUAACCCCCAGACACACCCUUACAUCUGUUGAGGCUCAAAUACACGAGAUGUGGGAGUUUUGAAAAGUCUGGUAAUUGAGUCAGGUUACGGGAAUGAUUGAGAUAAAGAAACAUCAACUUCUUCGGCAACUGUUUGGCAAAAAGAGAGAACAAAAAUCAUAAUCCAUAUUAUAGAGAAAGAGAGAUAGGGGGAGAGAGAAAGAGAGAGAAUGACUGUCGACUGGUAUUUAAAAAACACGGACGAGUAAAGGAUUAAUAAUUUGGUUGAGGUUAUGACAAUUAUAUGUAUCGUACCAGGUCGGAAUCCUCCCAAACUCGGACAAGCUUGUUGUAGCCCAAGUCAAUAAAAACUAAGUUUCGUAAAUCAAAAUCUUCGGGUAUGACCUCUAGAGGAAAUCCAUGCCAACACAAAAAUCUUAACUCCUUGGAAAGAUGACGGUAGCUUCCAGUGAGCUUUACAUAGUGGAGUUGGAGAAAUUUCAGAUGCCACAUCUUAUUAAAUGCUUUUGUGCGGAAGGGAUGGUCAUGAGUGUUUUCAGGCAACUCUAAAGUUAGCCCUCUAAUUGCUUCUGUUCCCUGUUAGGGGAAAACAAAAACAAAUCUAAUUCAAGCAAAGCCAUGACUAUCUAUGAAUGAACUACAAAUGCAGCACAUACAAUGCAUUAGAUAGGGGAUAUGCAUAUGCUUCUGUUUAUUUACAUACAUUCAACUUAUACAUUUUUUAUUGGGAUUUGGGAAAGUACUUACAUAUUCGUCUCUAAACACGCUUGUUAUGUCUUCAUGAUGCCACAAUCGACUACGUUUUCCAGGUUCCGUAGCACAUUCUACCCGCACAAUUUCUCUUCCCAUGUCUUGAAUCAAAUCAUGCAUCUUGAAGAAUGAUGAAUCAAAAUCUAGAAGACAUUGAUCUUGAAGAGUUCGGAUUUCUGAUUCUACACAAAAGCGACUACAAUUAUCCAAUAUUGCCACGACUUCAAUUCCAAAUGAGUUAAUAAAGAUAUGAGAUAUGUCAAGGAACACAAGCUUAAUCUAAGUGUUUCAUGAAUUUUUCCAUGUGUAAUGUUUCUCAAUUUAUCCAAUGUCAUUUUCCAUAUGCUUUUACUCUUUUUCAUAGCCAACAAAUGGCCUACGACUUUAAAAGCUAGCGGCAAUCCUCCACAAUAAUCGACAACAUCUGUUGCGAGUUCAAUAUAUUCUUUAUCAGGACAAUGAUUUCCAAACGCAUGCCAACUAAGGAGUUCAAGAGCUUCUUCAUCUGUCAUCGUUUGUGCCUUAUAAAUUUUAUCCACCUUCUGUAUAUUCAACACUUGUUCAUCUCUUGUUCAUCGUUUGUGUCAUCAACUACGAUUAGUACCUUCAUGCUUCCAAGUCUUUUCUCUAUCUCCUUGGUCCUUUCGGCAACACUACUUAUUUUAAUGUCAGGUCGUUUCAAAAUAUCUAGAAGAAAUUGUUCUUGAAGACUAAUCAUAUUUUUCUUUUUACUCCUCACCUCUUCAAGGUAACAUUGACCACGGAAACUAUGAUGGUAUGUGACAUAUGCUGCCCAUACACUGAAUUCCAAUUAUUUGAACGUCCUGUGAACCUCCAACAUCUAAGUAUUUAGUACCGAAUUCUUCCACGCUAAAAGUUAUUCCAACUGAGUGCUUGGCUUCUUUUGAGUUACUGGUUUUUAGUAGUCCGAUGAUGUCCCCAACAACUUUCUGGAUAAAUACUCCUUCACGCCUGCCAAUUGGAAAUCCAAAUUAUGCAAACAGAUGAUUAAUCAUGCAACAACAUGAUUCAUAUGAACUAAAUGCCUUAUGGAUCACGACUUGGCUGAUUAGUGAGUGUCCCAAAAUCUAAUUGUACAAGAUGUUGCAAGCGAUUAAAUUUUGUAAAAGAGGAAAUUUAACAUGAUACCUGUCCGCAGUGGUUUUAAGAUCAUUGCCAACCAAAUCUGUAGAAGCCUUAAGAUCUUUGCUCCACUGCUCGACCUCAUUUGGGUCUUCAUCCCUUUCAUGCUUCUGAAAUGCCUCCCCUCUUGAUCUUCUCGGCACCUCAUGAUCAUCGACAGCUCCCUCAGGCACCAUCGGGACUCCGCGUAACUCUUUGAGAAGACGACAACCGCAAUCUUCGACCCUUCAAUUUCUCAAUCAAGUUUUCUCUGUAUAUUCUCCCCCUUUUUGAGCUCGUAGUCUAUAAACAUGUUGAUUCCAGCACUGCUUAACGCAAUGGAUAGGUGGUUUGUGAACCCAGUGCGUGUGUCCUCGCCUCUAAAGCUCAGGAACACCUUGUACUUCCAGCGGUUUGAACGCCGAGAGGAAGACGAACCGCCGGCGGCUGCGGCGGCGGUUGCAAGGGCGGGGCUGCUGGUAUUCAUUGAUUUCAAGUAAAGAAGUGAAACUCCUGAUCGUUUCAGUCUAAAGAAAACAAGUCUUCCUAUGAUCCUAUCAUUUUCCUUUAUACAUCCAGAUAUCCUAAAAUUCCUCGCGUGGGCGGCAUUUUCUAUCCCUAUAUACGUGCAAAUUGUUAGACCGAGUCAAUCUUAUCCCAAACUAAGCUCUGCAACAAACUCUUCAUAGGAUAAGAUUGCUAAGUUCAGUUUCAGUUUUGAAUAAUUCAAAGAUAAACUGUUGUGAUUUUGUAUUUUUGAAUUCAAAGUUAUCAGUGUAAAUAGGGUAUUCAAAACCCUAUGGCUCCAUUAUGUGUCCUCCUAAGACUUUGGCUGGCACCACUGACGUUAACCCAGCCUACAUGACUUGGAUUCAACAUGAUCAGAUGAUUCUCAGUUGGAUCAACAACUCUCUCACUGCUUCUGUUUUGUCGACAGUAGCAAGCAAACGCAUGUGCCGUGCAAUCUGGGAAGCAUUGGAACAGCGGUAUGCGUCAACUUCCCAGAAUCGUAUAUUGUUUCUGCGUAUAGAACUGCUGCAGACGAAGAAAGGUGACCUCUCUGUAGCUGACUACUUGGAUCGUAUGAAUGCGAUCGCCGACAACCUUGCUCUGGCCGGACAACCAGUAAGCGAUGAUGAACUGGUUCAAAUUAUUUUAAAUAAUCUUGGUCCUGCAUUCGAGAUGACUGUGAAUGCAGCACAAGCUCGUGAUACUCCAAUCACUUAUCCAACACUUGAAGCUCUUCUGCUAACAACGGAGAAACGGAUGACGGAGCAAGCUGUGUUGAUUGAAACUGCUCCGAUCAAUGCUUUUGUAGCGUCACGAGGCCGUGGUGGUCGCUCUCGUGGCAAUGGACGUGGAGGCUCUCCGUUCAAUCGUGGUGGUGCCAUCAACAAUGGCAAUCAACGAGUUGGUAUUCCUCGCAAUAACAACAAUCAACGUGGUGGUGCGUCUGCAAGUACUGGUGACCGGUGCAACCUUUCUGGAGAACGCAUCAAAUGCCAAAUUUGUGGCAAACCUGGUCAUCCGGCUCUGGACUGUUACCAGCGGAUGAAUACAGCUUAUGAAAGACGCAUCCUCACCAAUCGUCUUGCUGCCAUGGCGUCUUCUCAAGUGAUGCCUAAUAAUGGAAAUUGGCUUCUUGACACGGGUGCCAAUGCUCAUGUCACCCCAGACCUUCAGAAUCUUGCAAAUCCAAAAGAAUACACUGGUAAUGACAACAUUGGUGGAGUAGGUAAUGGUUCUCAACUUUCCAUUGCACAUUCUGGUUCGAAUCAAAUUUCAACUAAGUCUUACUCAUUUAACCUCCAUGACAUUUUACAUUGUCUAUCCGCAUCCACUAAUAUCAUUUCGGCACACAGAUUCACCCUAGAUAACCAUUGCUACAUACUAAUAUUUCCUUAUUUCUUCCUUGUUAAGGACCUCAAAACCCGGAAGACGCUUUUCCGCGGGAGAUGUGAGAAUGGAUUAUAUCCAUUUCCUGGUGGCGGUGGAUUGUCCAACUAUCCUAUUUCAGUGUGUGUCGGUGUUAGAGUCUCACCUCAUAAAUGGCAUUUACGUCUUGGUCAUCCUGCUUCGUCAAUUAUUAAAUUUUUGAUUGCAAAUAACCAAGUACCAUCAUCUGGUACAAGUACUGUAACGUUUUGUGACUCUUGUCCAUUAGGCAAAAGCACUAAACUUCCCUUUAGCAAGUCUGUGUCCGUGUCUUAUUGUCCAUUAGAACUUUUGCAUUCUGAUGUUUGGAGUUCACCUAUUAUUUCUAAUGAAGGUUUUCGUUAUUACUUGUUGUUUGUGGAUGACUACUCACGAUAUUCGUGGAUCUUUCACAUGAAAAAUAAAUCUGAAGUGUUUGGAAUUUUUGUGACAUUUAAAACACAUGUUGAAAAAAUGUUUAACAAAUCUAUUAAAGCUCUUCAAUGUGAUGAAGGUGGUGAAUACAUGAGUCGCGAUUUCAAAACUUUUCUUGCUACACAUGGGAUUUCCCAACGUUUUUUCGUGUCCAAACAUCCUGAACAAAAUGGAAUUGCCGAACGAAAGCAUCGUCAUAUAGUUGAAACAAGUGUUACAAUGCUUCUCAUGCUCAUAUGCCUCAAAAAUUUUGGUUCGAUGCAUGUUCCACAGAUGUUUAUAUUAUAAACAGGCUUCCAACAAAGGUUUUAUCUAACGUGUCUCCCUAUGAAAAAUUGUUUCAAAAGAAUCCAAAAUAUAAGGCAUUUAAAGUGUUUGGUUCAAAAUGUUUUCCACUGUUGACUCCUUAUACACGGCAUAAACUUCAACCAAAGUCCAAACCAUGUGUUUUCUUAGGAUAUUCACUGAAUCAUGAAGGAUACAAGUGCUUGGACUUAUCCACGAGAUGCAUUUACGUGUCUCGCCAUGUUUUAUUUGAUGAGGAUUCCUUUCCUUUCAAGGAACUUGCAUCUCCCAAGGACGACGUCACUAUCACAGGUACACCUUUGACCCCUGACUUGAUUUUAACCACAACACCCUCAUCAACCUUGGUACCUUCCAUAUCUUCACCAAAUUUUGUCGAAUCUCACCCUAGCCUCAACCACCAGCCUGAGUCAAACUUGGUGUCUAGUGAUCAGCCGCAUAUCACGCCAACUUUUACUCCCCAGCAAACUGUUUCAAAUUUGGACCUUACUCCUCCUCCACCUAUCACUACCAUCCCUUGUUUAAAUAGGACACCUCAACCUAGUUCAACAUUAGGUCCCACCAAUGAGCAAGACUUGGUUCACAUUCCAUCCGUGCAAAGUUCUCAGAAUCCUUCUCAUUCAUCAAUUUUAUCUACCACAUCAUCUUCCAUACGAGAGACUACUCUCCCCCACUCAAUAACAACAAGGUCAAAAUCUGGGAUUCAAAAGCCAAAUCCAAAAUACGCUUUGCAUGCAAUCGCUGACUCCAAGUUUGUUGAGCCGUCUUAUUUUAGUCAAGUUAUUAAAUAUCCAGAAUGGAGGGCAGCAAUGGCACAAGAGUUCAGUGCUUUGCAAAUGUGUGGAACAUGGACGCUUGUUCCUUAUUGUCCUGGAAUGAACCUGCUGCCAAACAAAUGGGUGUUUAAAAUCAAGAGACGUACAGAUGGUUCUCUCGAACGUCACAAGGCUCGACUUGUGGCUAAUAGUUACCAUCAGCAAUCCGGAGUGGAUUAUAAUGAAACAUUUAGUCCAGUCGUGAAACACAGCACCAUUCGGCUUGUUUUAAGUCUUGCAGUGUCGAAGAAGUGGACGGUGCGACAGUUAGAUGUACAGAAUGCAUUCUUGCAUGGCUAUUUGGAUGAGGAUGUGUACAUGAAACAGCCGCCAGGUUUUCUUGAUCAGCAGUAUCCUAAUUAUGUGUGUAAAUUGCAGAUAAGUUUGUAUGGAUUAAAACAGGCUCCCAGAGCCUGGUUUCGAAGAUUCUCGGAUUAUCUGCUUCAACUUGGGUUUGAAGAAUCAUUAUGUGAUUAUUCAUUGUUCGUGUUUAAUCAACGAGGCGUUUACUUGAUCUUACUUAUCUAUGUGGAUGACAUUCUUCUUACAAGCAAUAAUGAUAAACAAAUGCAAUGGUUGAUAGAGAAGCUCGACACUUUGUUUUCUAUGAAGGACUUAGGUCCUUUAAGUUAUUUUUUGGGUGUCGAGGUUACUUAUUCUGGGGAGAAUAUGCAUCUUACACAGUCCAAGUAUGCGUUGGAUCUGUUGGAGCGCACCAAGUUUACUGCUGUCAAACCAGUAUCCACUCUUGUACCUACGGGACAAAAGCUCAGUCAGUAUACUAGUGAACCUUAUUCUAAUCCCGAAUAAUAUCGAACGAUUGUUGGAGCGUUACAAUACUUGACGAUCACCAGACCCGAUCUUUCUUAUGCUGUGAACCAGGUUUGCCAGUUCAUGCAUAUGCCUCGGACUACACAUUGGAUGGCGGUUAAGAGGAUUUUGCGGUAUUUAAAGGCCACACAUGAUCACGGUCUUGUCUACAAACCUGGUGAUAUUCGGUUAAAUGCUUUCUCUGAUGCUGAUUAUGCGGGAAAUCCGGACACACGUCAUUCAACUGGUGGCUUCUGUAUCUAUUUGGGCACGAAUUUGAUUUCCUGGAGUUCAAAGAAACAGAAGACUGUCUCAAGAUCUAGCACAUAGGCUGAGUAUAGGCAGCUUGCUUAUACUGCCGCUGAGUUGUCAUGGUUAGGAAGUUUGUUUCGAGAUCUCCAUCUCUAUCUUCCAUGGCCGCAGAUAUGGUGUGAUAAUGUUUCGUCCAUUGCUUUGGCUUCCAAUCCAGUUUUCCAUGCACGGACGAAACACUUGGAAGUGGACUACCAUUAUGUACGCGAAAAUGUGGUCCGUGGACAGCUUUUGGUUCAUUUUAUUUGCUCCCAAGACCAGAUUGCCGAUUUGUUCACCAAGGGUCUUUCCUCUUCACGCUUCAACUUGUUAGUUUCCAAGCUUCCCGUCGUUGCUCGACCUGUCAGCUUGCGGGGGGAUGUUAGACCGAGUCAAUCUUAUCCCAAACUAAGCUCUGCAACAAACUCUUCAUAGGAUAAGAUUGCUAGGUCCGGUUUCAGUUUUGAAUAAUUCAAAGAUAAGCUGUUGUGAUUUUGUAUUUUUGAAUUCAAAGUUAUCCGUGUAAAUAGGGUAUUCAAAACCCUACUUGUAAUCUGAAAGUAUUGUAUAAAUACACUGCGACCCAUCGUUAUAUGGGUGUGCAAUCAAAAGCUGAAAACCCUAGUGCUCUAAGUUUUACACAAAUAUCCCCUCGAUUCCCAAAUGUAGGCGGCAGUUUCUAUCCCUACAUACGUGCAGAAAUCCCCAAGAUUCUCCAAUGCAGGCGACAUUUUCUAUCCCUAUACGUACAGAUAUCUCCAAAAUUCCUCAAUGUAGCGGCAUUUUUAAAGUUUUUGCAUUGGUCAAUGAUGUCAAUAACGCGUGAGUGCUAUUCUUCCCACAGUUUAAUUUGUCAAAGCCAUACAAAAUAUAAAAUAAAAACCCUGAUGAGAAAUUUUUCGUUGUAACCGGAACACGGGAGGUAUACUACGUGUUUUUAUAUAAGUUGAGGAAAAUUUUAUUUUUUAAGUUAUUAACUUUUUAACACAUAUAUCCCACCAUUUAUAUAGUAACACGUGAUGUACCACCUCGUGUACCGGUUUCUCCUCUCUUUCCCGUCCCUCCCAUCUCUCUUUCGUAUUCUCAAUCUCUAUCUUCUGAUGGAGGUAAUCACAUACAAACUCAUUAUAUUUUACUUGAGUAAAUAUGAAUUAAUUUUUUUAAUUUGGUACGUAAAUUUAGGUUUUCGAGUAGAAUAAUGUUAAGGAGAUCAAAAUUUCAAAUUAAAUUAUCUAUCAUCAAUAUAUAAUAAGCACGUUAAUCAACAUUUAAGUAAUAAUUCAAUCAUCAACAACCACAUUAUUUGGUUCACAAAAUUAUAUUUAAAAUUUUGGUCUUCCUAACAUUAUCCUUUCGAGUGAACAUCAAUUCAAUGAGUAUUUUUCUUCUUUACUAUUCUUAUAUAGUUUGGGCCGCUAAAAUAUUACAUUAUUGUGAUUAACUAGCGAAAAAUACAAGUUAAAAAUGAAUGUGCAACACAUUGAAACACAGGAGCUCAAGGGCCUAUUUCCAAUGACAUGCUCAGGCCACCGAAUUUUAUGGGCUGGCCCUGGUUCAAUCGUUGUUGGUCGACGUCAUAAUGGCAUUAUAAGAAUCUGCGGUACAAAAUAGGUUCCAACUGUCGAUGUCAGUUUAGAGAGUUUCACCAUUCUCAUCUCAUCUUAACUUUUCAAAAUCUUUUUUGAAAUGUCAUUAAUUUUCCAAAAUUCUUAAUUUGUCAUCUCAUCUUAUCUUCGUUCAGUUUUUCACCCAAAUAAGUUGGAUUCAAGGUUAUUUUUACUUCGCAAAAUCCUUAUUAGUCAUCUCAUCUUAAAGAGUGCAAAUAAAUGGAUGAUGCAAAUCUUAAAAAUCUUAGGGCUCUAUCUUUCUAACUAUUUUAGUUCUAGAUGUGGUUUCUUGGAGCUCCAUGAUUGCGUGUUACACUCAUAAUGGGGAUGUAAUAGAAGCGUUAAAUCUUUUAAACGAAAUGAUUGACACAAGAUUCGAACCUAAUUCAAUGACUCUGGUAACUGCAUUCCAAGCAUAUGCACUGGCAGGUAAUUUAGAAAAAGGUAAGAGGAUCUACGAAAUUGCUACUAGGAAGUGUUUCGAGUUAGAUAUCACGGUAGCUACAGCCCUGAUUGAUAUGUACAUGAAGUGCUCUGCACCCGAAAAAGCAGGUGAUCUCUUCAAUAGAAUGGCAGAGAAAGAUGUGGUUUCGUGGGCUGCCUUGUUGAGCGGGUAUGCUCAUAACGGAAUGGCAUACAAGUCAAUUAGGGUCUUUCGCGACAUGCUAUCAGACACAACUCAGCCUGAUGCCGUUGCUAUGGUCAAGCUUCUUGCAGCUUGUUCGGAAUUAGGGAUUCUUCAACAAGCUCUCUGCCUCCAUGCUUAUGUGAUUAAACGCGCCUUCAAGAAUAACAUCUUUGUUGGAGCUUCACUCAUAGAGUAAUAUUCGAAGGGUGGAAGCAUAGACAAUGCUGUCCAAUUAUUUGAAGGCAUAACAGACAAAGAUGUCGUUAUCUGGAGCGCGAUGAUUGCAGGUUAUGGAGUUGAUGGACAAGGAGAAGAAGCUUUAAAAGUAUUUGAUCGGAUGGUUAAGCACUCAGAUGUCAAGCCUAAUGAUGUAACAUUUCUCUCGAUUUUAUCUGCGUGUAGCCAUUUGGGUUUGGUUAGAGAAGGCAUCGAGAUCUUCAACACGAUGUUGCACGAAUACCAACUUAAGCCCGGACCUGAGCACUACGGGAAUUGUUGAUCUUCUAGGCCGGACAGGAGAGCUGGACAAUGGAAUGGAAAUCGUUGAGAGAAUGCCAAAUCCAGCUGCAGCGCAUGUUUGGGGAGCCUUGCUUGGUGCGUUCUGGAUACAUAAGAGGUUGCAGCAGAGAGUCAUUUUCGGUUGGAUCCUAAUUAUGCAGGGUAUUACAUCCUGCUCUCGAAUGUAUAUGCCAUGGAUAACAAAUGGGAAAAUGUGACAAAUCUUAGAACUUUGAUAAAGGGGAAGGCGUUAAUGAAGAUGUCCGGGCAGAGCGUUUUCGAGGUGGAGAGUGACAUCCGUAGUUUUGUUGCCGGAGAUGGAUUGCACCUUGAUUCUGAUCAGAUUUAUGUAGUGCUAGGAAAAUUAGAUACGAAAAUGAGAGCGGAAGGUUAUGUUCCCAAUGUCGAUCUUCUGCUAACAUGACAUGGCGGUUGGUAUCUAGAUUUGAAGUGUUGUGAAAUUUCUUGUAGGGAAAGUUUCGACCCACAUGAAAGGCGUAAUGAUAUGGACGCAAUCACGGAAAAUAAUAUAAUCCGGUUAUAUUUUAAAUAAGCAAAUAUAUUUUAGAAAUGUUAUCAAUAACAUAACCCACUGCAAAACCAAACUGUAGCACACAAUUCAUCACUGCUGUGACAACUAAGACAUUCCAAAUCACACAAGUUUACAUACAUUAGAAUAAAAUCCACAGUUAAUCACUGUUAAAUAUCAUUACAAAUAAGUUAAUUUUAGUUGGAUGCAGCCAUCCAACAACCAUGAUCCUUCAGCGCCCAAUGUCGGAUUUUCAAAAGCGACGAAACUCCAGACAGUCUCCUUUUUGGCCAUGCUGCUGCUGCUACUACUACUGUUACCACUUGGAAGUUGGAUGCUCAGAGUUUAUUUUCCCGUGAAUGGUGCGACUCUUGCCGGAGCAUUCUCGAGGCCAGUCACCACAUAAACUUCAAUCUGAAAUCACAAUCGUCACAAAUUUGAAGUUUAACUCCACUACCAUUCUCUCAACACCAAUUCGAUAUAAAUUAAACAAGAAUUGCCCCAAUCGAAAAUUGCAAUGCCGUACCCACCCAAAAGAAAAAAAAAAAAAAAAAACAACUCAAAAGAUCGUAGGAAUCGACGAAAUUAAAAAAAUAUAUACAUUCAAAUUCCUAUUACAAUAUGAAAAAGAUGGCAAAAACACACGUCAGGGUUAAAGGGAUCAAUGCAAGAAAACCAACCUUUUCUAGAGAUCGCGUUGGGAUUUGGUAGAGCCGUCCUCAAUUGGGCUUACGGAGGAAGAGCCUAAGACCUUGAAAAGAAGGAGUAGCAUGUCGAUCCAGCCGUGGAUUAGCACGUGACCGGAAACGUGGAUCCAGCCGUGGAGCAAGUCGAUGUGGAGCGGAGUGCGGUUGUCGUAGUCGGCGUGGAGGCCUGACUCAAAACCGUGGGCAUUGUCUGGAGAAAGACAUUGCCUUCGUGCUCAGGGUCUUGGAUGAGAGGAUUGGGAGGAGGAUUCUCUAUCCUCUUAACUCUUAUGCAAAAACAGCCACGUAAGCAUAUAAUAGUAAAAAAUGACAGUAAAUUCUUUUCAACCGAGCUUUCAAUUUCCUACGUGACGCUGAGUCAAUUGAAAACAAAGUAUUUUGCUGUCAAAUUUGACUGCAGAUGUCAAAUUUAUUAAAUAGUUUUUCAAUAGAUUAAUAUAAUAUAUAAUAAAUGUUAUUGUGUUUUUCAAGUUUUUGAUUGGUUGUCUCAAUCACUAAACCCCACAAAAGAUUAAAAACUUUAAUAAAUAACAUUAUUAUUUGACAUAUCGGGGUGAAGCAAAAUAUUUCAUAAAAUGUCAAAUUGCCAUGUAAGCUACUAAAUAUCAUUUUGAUGUUUAAAAUUUGACACCUUAUUUGGAGAUGCUUUUAAUCUCUCUACCCUUACAUGCUCUCUUAUUUGAAUGAUUACGGUUAAAUCACGUCAACAUUUUAUAUUAAUUUUUUUAUAGAGAUAAUAAGAUAAAAAGGGAUGGAAUGGAGUGAGAAUAUGAUGGUAGAGAAUCAUCUUUUGAUUGGGAGAAAAAUUUUCUACCGUUCUAAUCUCUCUACCCUCUUGAUGCCUUGAAUUCAUUGGAUUGAAGUGCAAGACUUUAAGGCCCUGUGUUGGCAUAUCGGAUAAGGUACCGGAUAGUACUAUUAAUACGGAGUACGGUGUUUGGUGUCCGUUUGAAUUAAAUAACCACCAGAUUAAAUAAUCCGACCCCACCUCCUUUAUCCGGCUGAUACCCGCUUAGUUAUACCGCCCAAAACCUCGGUAUCAUUUAGUCAGGUAGAAACACGCCUCUCUCACUCUCUCCAUCCCGCAUUGCUUGCCCUCUAAUAUGAAUCUCAGGUUCUUCUCCUCCUCCUCCUCCUCCUUUGUUCCGCCCUCCUGCAACUUCUCCUCCUCCUCCUUCUCUAAUCACCGCGAACGGCGUAAGAGGACAAUCGCGAUGGACUGACGAAACUCGAAUGGGAGAAGCAUAGUGCUUCAAAUUACAGAGAGUUCCUCUCGCCGCUCGCUCUACUCCUCUCACAUCGCAUGCUUUCUCCUCUGAAUCCAAGGUUCUUCCUCCACUUCUGAAUCUGAGAUUCUUCUUCCUCCUCCCUGUUCCGCCCUCCUCCUAUUUUUCUUGCAAUUUUUCUUCUUCUCUCUGUUCUGCCCUCUUAUUUUUCUUCCAACUUUUUUUUUCCAAUCAAAUUGAAUCAGAUUGUUGUUUUUCUCUCAAAUUUUUGCAAUUGAUUUUAUAAAUUUUCAAUUGCCAAAGAACCCAUCUACCUCCUUUGGGUCAUAUCCUUCAUAACCAUUCUACUUUUGCUAGGCUGAUUUGUAGCUAAAAAAAAGAGAGGAUUGGGAAAACUAAAAAAAAAAAGAGGAUUGGGAAAAAAAAACGAUGAGAAUUUGAAAGGAGGGUUUUGCUAGGUUUCUUGUUGCUGCCUUUGUGGUGGGGUUUAGUUCAGGGUAGCAGACGGGGAAGAAGAAGAAGGGAUAGAGAGGGAGGGAGUUUGGAGGGGUGCGGCGGAGAGAUCUGGGAACAAAAGAGAUGAUUUCAGUUUUUUUUUUUUUUUAUAAUUUUGUUUUAAGUUUGAUACUUCAUAUCUGGAAUAAUACCAAACAUAGUAUAAAUAAUAUGAUCAUUAGUCUGAUACUGUACCAAACGACCGAUUAAUUUAGUCAGUACUAUCCGGUGACUAUUUAUCAUAUUCGACAAAAAUAGUCAGUACAAUCCGAGCUGUCAAACGAGGCCUAAGAAUAUAAGAGUUUGAUCAGCUAUUCAGAUUUAAUCCAAUAACUUAUAUUGAUCUGCACGGAAGGCCCACAAAAUGCAAUCCGCACUUUAGAAAUGACGUUUAGCCUACCGUAUUUGGGCUUUCUCUUAUGUAACUAUGUUUAUGUGAAAACAAAGUAACCUUUUUAACCAAAAGAAAAGAAACAAAAAAGAAACAAAAAGAAAAAGUGCUGACUAGGCCAUGGGGAAGUAUUCAAUGCCAGAAGAAAGUGGGGAAUGGGAAAGCACAAGCAUUCAUUGCCAAGCUGUAGCCGGACAAUGUCAGAAUAAAUAAAUCAAUAAAUAACUAGUUUCCACUAAAGUGGACGUGGAAAGGCAUCUUGAUUUUUCAAAAAUUAACAAAAAAAAAAUAGCACUGAACACUUGCCCACGUGACAAGGUAUUCCAACCGAGUGGUUGACUGGUUUGUAGUCUCUGGAUUGUGUUAGUCCGAUUAUGCCCCCAAAUUGAAAGUUCAAAAUUUUUCUUAUCUAUUUAAGUGACCCGCUUCCCGAACUCGAAUCAUCUCUUGACAACUGGCCCUUAAAUAUGUAUCCUACUAUUAUAAUUAAUUUUAAUCUUUUUAAUGGAUUUCUCUUCUCUCUCCUUCCGUCUUUUCUUUCCCUUUCACUCCAUCUUCACUCCAUUAGUGGCUGCUCUCUCACAGAUGAAAAAUUGAAGCAAUAGAAGUAUCUGAAUGAUUAUACCAAGGCAACAUUUGUCCCGGAGAGCGAGAUGGGUGGAAGGCAGAAAAUUAAAGGAGAACUAAUAAAAAUGACUUGAAAGCUUUAAGUUUUAAUGAUAGGAACAAAAUAAAAGGGAAAGUAAAUAGUACUAUGAUUGACUUUUUAGUAUAAAAAUGUGGUUUUUCGUUAAAAUAAACCGUACCGGAAAUUUUUCGUUAAAGUUUUCAAAAAUUAAUUCCAAUUUUUUGCUCAAAACCAAGCCAUUAUGUUGUUGGUCUCAACCAUAAAUCAAAUAACUCAACAAAUUAGACGUCCCAAGACCCAAUCUUUAUCCCUGACCUUCAUCCCAAAACCUUGACUUCUUUAAUAAUUUAAAAAAUGAAAUUUCCCACCACAUCUAUUAAAACACGCGAUGUACAACUUGUGUUUCCGUCGCAAUUAAAAAUUUCUCAUGAUGGUGGAGUGCUUGUGUCGAUUAUAACCGACAACAAUGUUCUGUCAUCCGCCACUAUUUAAACACUGCAAAUAUUUUAUCCGACAUUAAUCAUUUAAAACCGCCACAACCUUCUGACACAUUAAAGCCAAUUUUGUAGUAGUGUUAGGCCAUCUCCAACCGAUGGCUGGCCAGAGGGCUCGUUUGAGCCCUAUGACCCUCCAAGAUUCUCCAAGAUAUUAAUAUUUUAAUGAACAAUACAUGGCCAUAUUUGCCUUCGUCUCCAACCGAGGGCCAAAGGGCCAGAUGACUCGUUUUAGCCCUCUCGCAAAAAACCAUCUACAACCGAGGGCCAAACAUAAUUUAUUAUUUAAAAACUACAACUUAAAUUCAAGUUAACUAUUUAAAAAUAGAAGUUAUAGGAAAAAAAAAAGAAUUAAAACAAAAUAUGAAACAAAUUUUGUGAAAUAGAAGUUAUAAGAAAAAAAAUAGAAUUAAAAAAAAUAUGAAAAAUAGAAGUUAUAAGAAAAAUUUGUAAAUAAAAAAUAAUAAUAAAACUGUGUAAAAAAAAAUCAAAUGCAAGCUAGCCGUUGUAUUCAAAUUUUUUGAAAUAAAUUUGUGUCGGUUAUAACCGACACAAAUAGUAGUACAAAUUACUAUUAGUGUCGGUUAUAAACGACACUAAUUGUAAACAAUAAAGCAUAGCGGGACCAAUUAUGUCGGUUAUAACCGAAUAAUUACAAAAGACUAAAUAAUUACUGUCGGUUAUAACCGACAGUAAUUCCGACGCAUUUAAAAAAAAGAGUCAGCCAGCCAGCCCUUUGGCCCUUUAGGAUUCUGUGGGACCCUCUCAGAUUCCAAAGCCCUCUGGCCUGGCCCUCGGUUGGAGACGGUUUUAGGACUAUUUUCGGUCCUCUGGCCCUCUGGACCCUUCAGUUGGAGAUGACCUUAGGCUCUUAUUUUGGAGUAUGUAAUACUUGAAAGACAAAUGUUUUUUUAAGGUUUUGAAAUAAUAUUUAUGUGACAAUGUGGUAUACAUAUACUAAUUUAGUAUUAUGUUUUCUAUUUUUUUUGGUCAAAUUAUGCUUUUCAUCUUCAUUAUUUAGGGAUUUAAAAUAUAUUUUCUUUAACGGAUAAUGGAUCGAGUCAUAUUAAAUGAUAAUAUUAACGGAUCAAUUUCGGGUCGGAUCAUAUUAUCGGUUUACUUUAACGGAUGUUACAUGACACGAUUCAUUAAGAUAUUAGGUAUAUCAUAAAAUCGAUACGAACGCAAAAAAUACGACACGAAUAUCAAAUCUAGCUUUUAGCAUACUCUCCCCGUACCUUUCUCAUGUUUUUACACCCAAAAAGUAAAUGAUUAAAGAGAAUAAUUUUUACAUGCCUUCUCUUUUUACUUCUUUUGUUUCUUUUUUCAAAAAAACACAAAAAAGGUCGAAUUAUGCCAAAACUGGUAGGACACUGCCCGACCAUAUGGCUUUUGAGCGCAUUAGAGCAACUCCACCCAUGUGGAUUGCUCGGGGGAUAGGGGAGAAGAAAGGGCCUGAGGCCCGGUCGACAGUGCUCCAGCCAUGGAGAGCCCGAGUGAAGGUGGGAGCCCGAGCACAAGGCCCGUCAGGAAUCCACCAGCCUGCAGCCCGAGGGCCAGACAUUAUUUAAUUUUUUUUGUGUCAGCCCGAGGGCCUGCAGCCCCAUUUCCAAUGUUUUUAUUUUAUUUUAUAUUAUUUAAACAAACAAAAAAAACUAAUAUUUUAUUACAUAUUGCCAGGGGGAGGGCUCCAAGGGUGGAGAUGCAAAAGGUAAUUACUGUUCAUUAAUGGUAGUUACUAUUCAUUAAAGGCAGUUACUGUUCAAUAUGGUGGAUUCAAUAGUGAAUUGCCAGGGGGAAGGGCUCAAAGGGUGGAGUUGCUCUUAUGUUAGAUGACUUUGGAAUGGCUAACUGGAUUGGCUGCUGACUUUCUUGAUUGCUCCAUAGUAGUUUGGUUUAGAUUUUUGUUUAAAAAUACCAAAAUUAAAGUUUAAUGGUUAAAAUAUCAUGAGUACUGGAUACUUCGGACGAAUCUGACCACCAAAGAAUUUUUGGUUUGGCUGUUUUAUUAUUCUCUCUCAACAUUUUAUAACAAAAAAAAAAUUGGUUUGGCUGUUUUGUUGUUCUCACUCAACAUUUUACAACAAAAUGAGGGGAACACCCUCCCUCCUCCACUGAUUUUUUUUUUUUUUUGAGAAAUGGAGAAUAUCAUUAACGAGGGCCAAAGCCAAAAGGAGGAACAGAAAGCCACACAGGCUAACAACAUCUGAAAAGAGCAACACAUAAAGGGUAAGAACACGACACGGAGCCAACAUAUGUCACCCUUACAACUACAAACUAAACUACAAAUUGGACGGAGGGCAAGGAAGACCAUCUUUGUUCAAGAUACGAACAAACGAAGAUGGGGGUCUACGGACCUAAACGAAAUCGCACAUCUCUGUCCCAAUAAUCCACCGCUUCGUUAGCUGAUCUUGGCACCUAAGGACAAUCACAUGAAUAAAAAGUUUCACCUUUGUACCGUAUCUUACAAAGAACAUGGAAUAGCUCCCACGCCAUUUGCUCAAUACACCAGUUCAACCAAUCAAUGAUCCCUUUUGAGUCCGACUCAAUCACAAUACGGGAGAAUCCCCGCUGCCUUGCCAUGCAACAACCCUGCAGCACUCCCUAUGCUUCUGCCAUUUGGGCAUUCAUAGCUCUGAUACGCCUCCUUCUAACUGCCAAGCACCAAGAUUCAGAAUCACGAAUCACCACCCCAAUAUGGCAGAAGCCAACCAUCAGCUUCCCGCUAGCAUCCACAUUUACCUUCGUGAUCCCAGGAGGAUGAGGAGGUUCCCAACCACUAACGAUAACCCUCUUAGAGCCUCGUUGUACUCGAUCAUCAGAAUGCGCCUCACAGUAACCAGUGUGAGCAGACUCGAUAGCUUUAACAGUACUGGUUGGGGAUGAGAAGUGAGACCUUGCAUCUAACCUUCCAUAUUUCUCAGCAUGCGAAGGUUAUGUACGACAUAGUUUCCCUUCUAACCUCCCCACCCUAGGUAGAUUUUGCCAAAUUGAAACCACCCAUGAAUGGAAGGAGGUUACCCUACUUUUAUCCACCCUUAAUCCCAAUGGGCCACCAAACCACACCUGAUCCACCCACAGACAUAAAAUAAAUGCAUGCUCGAUCAUCUCCUCAUGUUCACCACAAAAAGGGACAAGGGUGAAGACACACAUCGUCGUCUAAAUAAAUCUCGUUUAGUAGUUGUCGCCCCCCUUAGUGUAUGCCACAUAAAGUCCUUUAUUUUGUGAGAGAUCCAUAAGUUCCAUAUGCACUUCCACACCCAAAAGUCGACCGACGAUGAUGUAGAAGAUGUUAGUUGCUGACUUGACAAUUCACUGUGUGGAUCCAAUGGUAUCCAGAUUUGACGGUAUAAUGUCCCAUUCUGUCUGUUAGCCAAACUAGCAUAUCCUUGCAGUUAGCCCCGCCUAUUGGCGUAUCAAGGAUGGCAUGAUGAUCUUCAGCCGAGACCUUCCUAUCUAUAAUAGCCUGAUGCCAAGACCUAGUAGACUGAUCAAUCAAAUUCGAGACUCUUAGGUCAGGGUUCAUCAAAACCCCCUGAGCAGGGGUAAGGUGCCCCGACUGCAAAGUUGGGAUCCACCAAUUGGCCCACACCCGUGUGUUCUCACUAUUCAAAAUCUGCCAAUGCACACCCUGAGAGAUAAUGUCCCUUCUCAUCAACAGGCUAGCCCAAGGCCAGGAAGAUCGACCCCAUUUUUAAGCCUAAAAAAUAGGAGCAAUCCGUGAAGUAGCUCUGCUUGAUAACCAGGGCCCAAAGAGAGUCUAGGGAAUGGAUCAGACGCCAACAUUGCUUGGCCAAAAACACCAUGUUAAACUUCUUAAGGUUACAGAAGCCCAUGCCGCCCUCAUGCUUCGACAGACCCAAGUUUUCACAACUCACCCAAUGUAUCUUUUGUUCCCCCUCUCUUUGACCCCACCAUAAUUUGGCCAUUGCCACAUCAAUAUCAUUACAAAUAUUGUCCGGGAAACAGAAUAUGUUCAUUGGGUAAGCAGGAAUUGCCUGAGUCACUACUUUUAUCAAAACUUCCAUACCGGCUUGGAUAAGAAACCCUGCUUCCACCCUUGAAUCUUUGCUAAAACCUUGUCUUUUACAAAAGCUAGUGCCUCCCGCUUCGUUCUUCCACACACUGUUGGGAUUCCCAAAUAGUUUCCUGGAUCCUGAACCUGCAGCAUACCCAGGAUGCUCACCAAUUCGUUCGGGAGUUCUCCCGGGGUGUUGGCACCAAAGAAAACAGAUGAUUUUUGCAUGCUAACUUCUUGACCUGAGGUAGUGCAAUAGGGCUUUAAGAGGUGGGUUAUGUUCUGACAGUUGGGCCGUGUUGCACGGAGGAAUAUAAGCGUAUCUUUUGCAAACAAUAGAUGGGAUAGACACGACCCGUUCAUACUUAACUGAAUACCUUCAAUAAAACCACCAUCCACCGCACCAUUAAUUAGCCUCGAGAGCACGUCUGUAAAGAUGAGGAAGAGAUAUGGAGAUAGGGGUUGCCCUGCCGGAGCCCCCGCGACGGCUUGAACUUUCUCCUUGGUUAUCCAUUCACUAGGACCGAGAAAUCCACAGUGGAUGCAUAUCCCAUUACCAACCUUAUCCACAUCCCACCAAAACCCAUUCGGAUCAUGACUGCCUUCAAGAAAUCCCAUUCAAUCCUAUCAUAUGCCUUAUUCAUAUCAAUCUUCAUAGCUAGCUCAAAUUUAGUUUUCACUUUCCAAAGCUUGAGAAAAUGGAACACCUCAUGGGCCAUUAAAAUAUCGUCCUGGAUCUGCUGGCCCUCCAUAAACGCGUUCUGGGUCGGGGAUAUGAUUCUAGGUAACCAAUGCUUUAAUCUAUUGGCCAGCAGUUUAGAGAAGAUUUUAUAAGAGUAAUUACAUAUCGGCCUAAAUUGACUCACCGAGGAUGGGUUUGCAACUUUUGGAAUAAGGACAAUGUGAGUGGAGUUAACUUCCUCAUGAUCUCCCUUCCGGUGGCAAAAUCCUCCACCAACCCAUUCACCUUUUCCCUAAUAAUAUCUCAAAAGGAUUGAUAGAAGACCCCCUAGAAUCCAUCUGGGUCAGGCGCCUUCAAACCACCAAUUUGGAAAACCGCCUCCUUUAUCUCUGUCAAAGAAAAUGACUCACAAAGCUUAUCAUUCAUUUCCUCUGAGACCGAUGAAUGAAUAUAGUCAAAGACUUGACCCCACUCCCUCAUGCCCCCCCCCCCCCGACGUAAAAAGACCAGUGAAAUGGUCGUUUAUCACCCGUUUGAUUCCUUCGCUAUCUUCCUGCCACACCCCCCUCCCAUCUUGCAGCUUUGCAAUUCUAUUAAAAUGUCUUCGCUGAAUUGUGGUUUGGUGGAAAAAAAACGAGAGUUUGAAUCUCCUUCUUUGAGCCAUUUUAUACGGGAUCGUUGCCUCCAGAAUAAUUCAUCCCAUUCAUCUAGCUUUUCAAUAUUGGCAACAAUGGCUCUAAUCUCCUCCUCGUUUUCCUCCCACUGACCUUGAAGAUGUCCACUGAUUUUUCUUUAGUACCUGCAUGCAUCACCUUCAAUUACAAAGAAAGUAGGUAAAAUUCUUCUAUACUGAUUUUUCUAGACUACAUACAGGCACUGAGUGCCGAUCCAACAGUUCUCGAUUGGUAAAAUACGUGUUGGCACUAAGCGCCUCUAGAUGCUAAAAAUAAAAAAUAAAAAAAUUGCUCAUCCACUGCAUUAGCACAAAAUUUUGGGAUCAAAAUUUUAUUUUGCUUUGCUAUUUUCUUUUUAACAAACGAUAUUAUCUACACUAAACUAAGGGAAAGUGAGGUAGGCUAAGCCUUAUAAUAGGCUGCAAUAAUGUGGUUCAAAUUCAACUUUUGCGAGAAUUAAAUCUAAGACUUCUUACUUACAAAUGAAGAGGAAUAUCACUAGAAUGUAUACUAAGAGCAACUCCACCCUUGGUGGUUGCUCGGGGGACAGGCGAAGGGAAAAGGCCCGAGGGCCGGUGGAUAGGCCUCCAGCCUUGGGCAGCCCGAGUCAAGGUGGGAGCUCGAGGGUUAGGCCUGUGGAGAAUUGACAGCCCGACAGCCCGAGUUGUGUGUGGGGUCAGCCUGACGCCAGGCCUGGCGUCGGUGGUUUUUUUAUUUUUUUUGUGUCAGGCGCGUGCCCCUCACUCGCGAGUGGGGGCGCGUCAGCCUACAAGUUUACAGGGCAUAGGGCCCGCGCCCCAGGAAAUGCAGGUGACUGUUGGGAAGCCACGUGGCUUCCCACGGUCCGUUCAAUCCCAACAGCUCUUUAAUACGAGCCGUUCGAUUUCCAACGGUAAUAAAAAAAAAGCUGAUUUAAUAUCAACCAUUCGAUCUGAGAUCAACGGUUGAUGUUAAUCUGCUUUAUAAAUUUAAAAAAGAAAAAAGAAAAAAUAGUUUUAAAAUUAAAAAAAGUUACCGUUGUGACACGUGGCGUAAUCUGGAGUGUUGGAAUUCAAUUUUUUUAAAUCCAACGACAGAGUUUAAUUAUUUGAAUAAAAAAAAUUUAAAAAUUGUAAAAAAUCUGAAAAAAUAUCUGAAAAUUUAAAAAAAAAAAAUUACAUAAGAGAAUCUUUAUUCAAAUGACAUAAACACACCAAAUAAAAAACUCACGAAAUGAACACCAAAUAAAACAUACCAAAUAAAAUUACAUAAACACCAAAUAAUAAAAACCUCACUAAAUGAACCAAAAUAAAACACACCAAAUAAAAUUACAUAAACAUACCAAAUAAUAAAAAACACACUAAAUGAACUUUAUUAUCUUCAGCUUGUUUCAAUGCCCACUGGUACUCUAUCAAGUCAUUUUGCCUGGCAUUGUGCAUGUCUGGCCUUUGAAAUGCAGUAUAUCGUUGAAUGACCCUUUCAUUGUAACGUUCAUCCCUUUCUAAUGGCUCAUGUUGCACGGGCUCAUCGGUGGCAUCAUGAGCACAAUAUAUAUGUGUUCUUGAAUUGUUCAUCGUGUCUGGCUCAUAUUCAUCAACAGCUUCAUAAUCGUACUCAUCUUCCACAAUCAUGUUGUGAAGAAUGAUGCAUGUCAUCAUGAUGGAUCGAAGCGACUCUACAUCAAACAAUCUGGCAGCAUCCCUGACGAUCGCCCAGCGAGCUUGAAGGAUACCGAAACAACGCUCCACAUCCUUCUUGUAUCCCUCUUGACACCUUGCAAAGUGUUUUUCCUUUGCACUUCGCGGACGUGGCGCUGUUUUGACAAAUGUUGACCACCUUGGGUAAAUGCCGUUAGCUAGGUAGUAUGACCCGUUGUACAUACGUCCGUUGACCUCAUACGUGACUUUUGGUGCCUUUCCGUGCAGGACAUCAUUGAACACUGGGGAUUGGGUAAGAACGUUGAGGUCAUUUUGAGCUCCCGGAACCCCGAAAAAUGAUUGUCAAAUCCAUGUAUCAAAAGAUGUCACCGCCUCCAAAAUGAUAAUUUUUGCUCAUUUUCUAUCUCCAUAAGCGCCUUGCCAUGUACUUGGACAUUUUUUCCACAUCCAAUGCAUACAAUCAAUGCUCCCAAUCAUUCCAGGAAAACCUCGCAUCUCGGCAUUCUUCAGAAGCCUUUCCAAGUCCAUGUGAGUAGGUUUUCGGAGGUACUCUACGGUGUAGAUAGAUUCGAUUGCUCCGCAAAACCUCAUCAGGGACUCAAGAAUGGUUGAUUUCCUCAUCUUCGUUAUCUCAUCCAUUUGGUCUACAGAUGCUCCAUACGCAAUGCUCCAUACGCAAGCAUCCGCAGCGCAACAGUAAUUUUUUGCUCGGGAAGGAGACCCAUAGCACCACAUGCAUUCUUCUUUUGCUGAAAGUAAGAAUCAUGGUUGCAAACCGCAAUCAUGAUUUUGUUGAACAAAUGUCGUUCCAUUCUAAAACGACGUCUGAAGUACGUAUCAGGAAAUGCACUAUUAUGGACAAAAUAAUCGUCCAACUGCUCCACACCUCGUUGCUGCCUCCUUCUAUCAAGGUUUCCGAAACGGGUGGGCCUGUAUAUCUGAGCCACAACUUGGAUGACUCGACGGGAAUGUGAGUCUCUGGCCAUUCUUAAUUCGUCAUCUCUCAUUCUCCGCUCCUCAUCCUCUUCCUUCUCAUUUUGGGCUAUAUGGAGAUUGAAUAUUCCUUCAGAUUAGAUAAACAAUUCUUUCUCUUCUUGAUCGAUUUCCCACAUCAUGCUUGAAGAAGAAGACAUUGUAAGUAGAAACUAUAAAUAAUGAUACAGAUUUUGAUUUAGUGAAGAAGGAAGCAGAAACUAUGAAUAAUGAUAAAGAUAUUGAGAAAAUUGGUGUGAGAUUUAAAAGGAUGGAUGAUGGAUUAUAUGAAGGAUUCUGAAAUGAUUAGGUUGUAGAUAGUGCCACAUGGCAUGCCGUCAUUCGUUAAAAAUCUCAUCGAAUUCUAUCCUAAAAGAUUCUGAAAAGAUAACGACACGUGACACGACGACAUUGGAUAAAAAUCUUAUCGAAUCUAUCAUCAAUAAUUAUCUUUUCGGAUAAUGACAUGUGACGCAACGAUAACGAUUUAAAAUCUGAUUGAAAUCUAUCCUCAAAGAUUCUGAAAAGAUAAUAACACGUGGCACGAUGACAUUGGAUAAAAAUCUUAUCGAAAUCUAUGACCAAUAAUAGUCGUUUUGGGUAAAUGACAUGUGGCGCAUCGAGAACGAUUUAAAAUAUCUUAUCCGAAAUUACAAAUAAAUUUAUUUAGUAUUAUUUUGUAAAAAAAAAUUAAUAAUAUUUUACCAGGACUAUUCAAGUGCAAGGGUGGAGAUGCAAAAAUCAGUUACUGUUCAUUAGAGUAGUUAUUGUUCACAUGGUGGAUUGCAUAGUGGAUUGCCUGGGGAGAACUUCAAGGGUGAAGUUGCUCUAAUUGACAUUUUGUUUUGCUCUUUUACUCACUCUGUUUCUUGGCACCUACUACGUAGGCUAGCGGUACUGGAAACUUAAAGCACGCACAAGGAUCAAGUCCUUGAAAAAACAGAUCAAUCAUGUUACUCAGAGGUGAGAUCACCCGUUUUUUUCUUCCUUUUAUGUACAAUGAAUUAUGCAAACAUAAAACAUAUACUGAUACAAUUUGAUGUUUUCCAAAAAUAAAAAAUAUCCAUUCCUGCAGUUGUAAGCAGUUUGAUCUUCACACAGAAAAGGAAGGCAAUGCAAAUUUUCCCCGAAAGCGUGAGAGAAGCGUGGAACGAGUGGGAGCUUCGGGCCAUGGUUUUAAUCAGCCUUGCCUUGCAAACCAUCCUCAUCCUGAUCGGCAACUGGAGAAAGCAUUCAACCAGCAACAUACUCCGAAUUGUCCUCUGGCUCGCUUACUUGUCAGCUGACUCCGUAGCAACCGUCUCACUCGGGAUUCUCUCCAGCAACCAGGAAGACUCCGAAGGUGAUUCUGUAAACCCCAACUUUGUUAUAACAGCAUUCUGGGCACCGUUUCUUCUCUUGCAUCUCGGCGGUCCAGAUACGAUUACUGCUUACUCGUUGGAGGAUAAUGAGUUGUGGCCUAGGCACUUGCUUGGGGUAGUUGUCCAGGUGAUUGUAGCUUUGUAUGUGUUUAUAAGAGCAUGGUCUAGUAAAAUGUUGAAUUUUUUGGCAAUUCCCGUUUUCGUAGUUGGAAUUAUAAAAUUUGGGGAGAGGACUUGGGUUUUGAGGUCUGCAAGUAGUGAGCAUUUUCGAGAGUCUAUGCUCCCUCCUCCGGACGCAGGUCCGAAUUAUGCUAGAUACAUGGAAGAAUACAGCUCAAAGAAAGCUGAGGGGUUUAGGGUUGAACCGAAAACAUUCAUUGAAGCUCCCAUAGGUUUUGAUCAUUCCGAUGCAGUUCAAGCUAAUGAAUCUAGUAGUGCCCAAAAUGCUGCAGUUUUAAACAAAGCUUAUAGUUUCUUCGAAACUUUCAAGCGGCUGUGUGCCGAUCUCAUCCUCACCUUCCACGAUAUAGAAAACAGCCAAUCGUUCUUCCAACAUAGAAGCUCUGAGGAAGCUCUCGAGGUUAUUGAGUUCGAGCUAGGGUUCAUGUAUGAUGUGUUUUAUACUAAAUCACUUCUGGUUUAUUCUGGUCUUGGUGGAAUACUCCGUUGCAUUACUCUUUCUUUCACAGUUUGUGUGUUCCUGGCCUUCGUGUUGAUCACGGAGAAGCAAGAAUACAUGAAAGUGGAUGUAAUUAUCACAUACAUAUUGUUGGUAGGAGCUAUUGUCUUAGAAUUUUAUGCAGUUGUCAUCCUACUUUCAUCGGACUGGACCCUGCUGUGGCUGAGCAAGCACAAAAACACAGCAGUAGAUCUCUUGCUCAGAUUGGUUUCAUCAAUCGCUUUGAUAAAAAACAAGAGGUGGUCUAAUACCUUGGCACAAUACGACCUCAUAACAUUUUGUCUCAAAGAAAGGCCAGCAAAGUGCAUUUUCAUCAACGAGGACUGGUUUAUAAAUCGGUUACUAGAGAAGUAUCGAUACAGAGACUUGAAGGAUGUUUCCAAAGAGUUGAAGAAUUUGAUAUUUGGGCAGCUGCUAGAGAAGUCGAGGACUGCUUCUAAUUUCGAGGCCAGCAAACGAAAAGAACUAUGUGCUCGAAGGGGUGACAUGGUGCUUGAGAAAGCAAAAUGUCUAGAUGAACUUGGCUGGACAAUUAACGGGGCCGAAUUUGAUCAAAGCAUCCUUCUUUGGCAUAUUGCGACAAAUCUAUGUUACUAUUCUGAUCUGGAAUUUUAUCAUAGUCCAAAUUCUGAAGCCAGCAUUCUUAAAAAAAAUUCUGAAGCCAGCAAGGUGUUAUCAAACUAUAUGUUGUAUCUUUUGGUGAUGUGCCCCUUCAUGCUGCCAAAUGGGAUUGGACAGAUAAGGUUUAGAGACACCUGUGCCGAGGCUGAGGAAUUUAUCACCGAAAGAAAGUCCAUAAAGAAUAGAGAAACGGCCUGCAAAAUGUUGCUCAAAGUGAGCACAGACAUCCUUCCAUCGAAAGUGAAAGGAGAUAGAAGCAAGUCGGUUCUAUUUGAUGCAUGCAGGCUUGCUAAAGCUCUGCAGUUCCUUGAGUCUAAGAAACACUGGGAGAACAAUGAGAAAAAAUGGGAGUUUAUAAGUCAUGUGUGGGUGGAAAUGCUUGCUUUCGCUGCCAAUCAGUGCCGGUGGAGUGAUCAUGCUCAGCAGCUCAGGCGAGGAGGAGAGCUGCUCACUCAUAUCUGGCUUCUUAUGGCACAUCUUGGUUUAACUGAACAGUUUCAAAUUUCAGAGGGCCAUGUUAGGGCAAAGUUGAUUGUGGAGUGAAUUUAAGUGUCACUCACUACAAAGAAUGAUCCAUUUUCAAGAUGUCCUAACUAUGUUAUGCUUUUCAGAUUGUAACUCUGUAGUCCGACCAUAGACCGGAUUUUCAAUAUUGCUUAGUUAAUGUGCUGAUAUUAUUAUUCCCCCUAAACAUAUUGAUAAAUAACGAACAUUCUACAUUGAUAAUUUCUUAUAAAUCAUAUCGGACUUCACUUAUGUAGUAACGAUUCAUAAUUGGAGUGUAACUAAAAAUAAGAGGACUCGCCAGGUAUAAAUUACUUGGUAAAUAGACAGUUUGCAAUUACGAGAAAACAUUUAUCCUUGUAGUUCUUGCAAGGCCAUGGCUUGCCCUACAACUACAACAUCAAACUCCAAGUUGCUGACUCAAAUUAAUUGUCUAGGGGUGGACAUAAAAGCCGGCCAACGGAAAACACAUUAGAGCAACUCCACCGUUGGAGCCCUCCCCCCAGGCAAUACACUAUGUUAUCCACCCAGUGAACAGUAACUGCCCUAAUGAACAGUAAUCCCCCAGGCAAUACACUUUUGCAUCUCCACCGUUGCACUUCAAUAGCCCUGGCAAUAGGCAAUAAAAUAGUAGUAUUUUUUUAUUAUAAAAUAAUACAAAAUAAUUUUAUUUGUAAUUUCGGAUAAGAUUUUUAAUCGUUCUCGUUGCACCACGUAUUAUUAUCCGAAAAGUUAUAAAAUAAUACAAAAUAAUUUUAUUUGUAAUUUCGGAUAAGAUUUUUAUAGAAAAGUAAAAACAUUUUUUUUUUAAAUUUUCAGAUUUUUUUUUCGGAUUUUUUACAAUUUAAAUUUUUUUUAUUCAAAUAAUUAAUCUCUGCCAUUGGAUUUAAAAAAAUUGAAUUCCAACACUCCAGAUUGUGCCACGUGUUACAACGGUAACUUUUCUUAAUUUUAAAACUAUUUUUUCUUUUAUUUAUUUAUUUAUAAAGCAUAUUAAUAUCGACCGUUGAUAUUAAAUAAGAUUUUUUUUAUUUUUUUUACCGUUGAGAUCAAACAGUCCAAGUUAAAGAGCAGUUGAGAUCGAAUGGACCGUGGGAAGCCACAUGGCUUCCCAACGGUAUCAUUUCAGUCUGAAAAGAUGUCGGGCAAUGCGCCCCCACUCGCGAGUGGGGUGCACGUGCAUGACAGAAAAAAAUUAAAAAAUGGCCUGACACCGGGCUGAUGUCAGCCCUGGCAUCACAUCCACUCAAGCUCUCGGGCUGGCAAUUCUUCAUAGGCCUGGAGAUCGGGCCUCCACCUCCGCUUGGGAUCCCUUCACGCUAGAGCGAAUCCACAGGGCCUUGGGCCCUUUUCUCUAGCAUGUCCCCCAAGCAAUCCACCACGGUGGAGUUGCUCUUAGAUCAUAGUAGAUCCUUCGAUUUGGUUUGGUUUUUGUAAAAAGUGUGCCCUUUUGAAGCGGACAAAACCAACACUGAAAGUUUCCCACCCCCCCCCCCCAAAAAAAAACCCAACAUUGAAUGGUUCAGUUUCAGUCGAUUUGAUUGAACCUCAUAACAUUAUUCAAUUUGAUCGACAAUUUGAAAGUGGGGCGGGGCCGAACCGACCCAUGCUCACAUGAAAAUAAUUAUAAUAUGUUGUAUAAUAAUCGAUAUAUGUAUAGUUGCAUAUAAAGUAAAUAAAAUUAUUAACAAUUGUAUUAUAGAGACAAGACUUACUAUUUGAUCAACAACAAGACAAGAUUAUUCCACCUAAAAGUAUUCACUUUGGUUUGAAUUCUUCUUUUCACAACAUAAUGGUCAGAUAGAACCAAAUCAAACCAAAGCGAAUACAUUUAGGUGAAAUAGUCUUGUCUUGUUGUUGAUCAAAUAGUAAGUCUUGUCUAUAUAAUACAAUUAUGUUGUGAAAAGAUAAGACUACUCCAUCAUUUUCAAAUAAAAUAGUAAGUUUUGCCUCUAUAAUACAAGUAUAUUGUUGAUAAAAUAUAAGUCUUGUCUUGUCGUUGAUAAAAUAGUAAGUCUUGCCUCUAUAAUACAAGUAUAUUGUUGAUAAAAUAUAAGUCUUGUCUUGUUGUUGAUAAAAUAGUAAGUCUUGUCUUGUUCUAUCUGACCUAAAAAUAAGACUACUCCAUCAUUUUCAUUGUCCCCAACCUUAUCGUUUCGGUCAGAUAGAACCAAAUGCUACAUUAUUAUAACUUUUAAAAGAUAUUUUUGUUUGUAAUCAUUGAAUUAAAUUUCAAAGACCACGAUUGUCUGCUUAGCUGACUCUAUUUUUUAAGAUCAGGAGAGGAUCCUCUUCUAAUCCGUCCCCAACCUUACCUUUUCGGUCAGAUAGAACCAAAUGCUACAUUAUUAAAAUGUGCAGAUGCAAUUAUUAAUCUCUACCCCAACUAGGUGGAGGUAGAUUUUCCACCCUCCCACUUCCAUUGUCCUCUUGUUUUGUGUGUUAACGGUUAAGUCACUUUAAUAUUUUAUAUUAAUUUUUUUAUAGAGAUAAUAAGACAAAAAUAAAUAGUAAUAUAAAACGUUGAUGUGACUUAACCGUGAUCACACAAACAGAAGGGCACGAAAGGGCACAAGAAGUGGAAGGGCAGACUGCCUCCCAACUAGAUUCCACUAGAUUUGGCUUUCACUGUUGUUAGUCAGAGAGAGACAUGAAACAAGAAUUGUAAGGAGGCAGAUUGUCUGCCAUCCUGUUUUGAUGCAUUCCCCAUUCCCUUUUGUUUGUGCGAUUACGGUUAAACCACGUUAUUAUUUUAUAUUCUUACUAUUUUUUGUCUUAUUAUCUCUAUAAAAAAAUCAAUAUAAAAUAUUAAUGUGGCUUAACUGUGACCGCAUAAAACAGAAGAUGAUGAAAAUAACACCAAAACAGGAGGGCAGACAAUCUGCACUCCGAAUUGUAAACCGACGCUUUUCCAAAUCAAUAAUUAAUUUGGGAGAUCACAGCAGCACGACAAAAUCCUUGUAUACGGGCUGUUACAUACGGCAGCCCCCUAACAGAGGGUGGGACUCACGUCACGGUUGAAGCCCACUUCCUGUGAGAGAACUACGACAGCCGUAUGCUUGAAUUUUUCGAGCAGCAAGCAUGCAAGUUUUACAAGAAUUACCAUGAAAAUUCAAAGGUACUAACUUUACCACAUCUAAAUAAGUGAAUAAUGGGGUAUUUAAAAAAUACACUCCGACUUCUCGGGCAACCUUCUGUAGAAGUUAGCCAGGAUUGAUGGCAUUUGUUUCCUACGCCGCAACCUGGGGUGCCUCAUCAAGUAAAACCCACCAACAAUAACUACAACCUUCAACGGUGUCACAAACAACAAAAUGGCAACAAAAAGACAGAAUGUGAUGAAUAUAAAAGUGGCGCGAGGAUCCCGCCAACUGAUGAGAAAUUCCUGAAUCCGCUCCCCCAUCGUUGCAACAUCCCCCACCACAGUUUGAAUCCUUCCGGCAAUACUCCUCAAGCGGUCGUACCUCAUCUUCAUUAUUUCAUCGUUUUGUGAAGUUGGAAAUGUGUCAAAUUCUUCAUCAAGCUCAUCAGGGUGCGCAGCGUCUGCAUGUGAGAGCCUUGUGUCCACAUGGAGAGGGUGUCUUGGGCGGUACCGCAAGUUCGAAAUCCCUGUAAGGAACAUGUAUAGGAAAACAGUUGACAAAAUAAGUUCCGGAGUGCACACCAGCAUCACAAACAGGACAUGUACUAGCACUGUUAUAAUGGAACUUCUCCAUGCACAUACUUCAUCAAACCAUUUCAGAACAGAAAUGAACCAGGAUAAAACACCCAUCAUUCUGAAAAAGUUUGCCUUGCUGCGCCUCAGGCUCCAAACAUGAACAUCUGCAGCAUCAGAGUACAUGUAUUCAACUACUUCCUUCCCAAGAGGUGGUUCUACCUGAGCAAGCCUAUCUGCCACCACCAACACAGCUUGAUCCCUCAAUGUGCCUGGCUGCACCUUUACCGAAACGGGUUGAAAGUAAAUCAACAUCAGAUUGGCCAAUGAUAUGCAUGAAAACCUUAUUGCAAGAUGUAAUUCGCCCGUCUUCUUGACACCAGAAGGAGAAAGGGAUAGUAAUGGAUAACAGUGUGUGUACACGCGGUCUGAUUCGAGGGUAGAGAUUCGAAUCCGGACCUUGCCAAUUUCUUUAUCUUUUUUUCCACUUGAAUUGCCAAUCUGCCUGUUAUCAAAAACCCCGACUGUGAGAAUUGAGACAGGAUCAUAUACCUCCCAAGUGUACUGCUCACUGUAUUUUGGACUUGGGCUGUUAGUUAUGGUUCGAGUACGAACCCAUUUGUCGCCAAACUUCGCCACACAAUACGAGUCAGUUGUAGCCUUCCCAGUCUCUGUUUUCAUUGGCAUUAGGUCUUUGGCAUUUAGAACUCCGAGCUCUAAGACACCAACAGGCCGCUGCAGGUCGUUGCAAUAGUUAGAAGAAUCAUCAAGUAAAUGGUACCCUCCAUCUAGACAAACAUGGAGAUGGAUUCUCCUGGAAAACUUAUGAUCUCUAUCUUUCUCCAUGGCAUUUGACAGAGACAUGUCAAGGUUAAACCACUGCCCACAGAUAAUUUGAUCAUCAUCAGCAGAUUCACCGCACCUCUUAACGGAGUUCAAUGCUAUGGAAACUCUUCCUAAUGUCUCCUCUUUGUCUGGACAUACAUGAUCUUCAACAGAAACGAUCAGAUGUUGAUCAUCAAAGGGUUCGGCAGUGACAAACAUAAGUUCCUCAUUCCACAUUGGGUUCAGAGAUUGAACUUCUCUUGUCUUUAAACACUGAUGACCGAUUUGUAUACUUGCGUAUGCAUCUGGGAUUCGAGAUGUGUCAGGUACAACCAAGUCCCGUGCCUCAAUCACCUUUACCCGUACGUACCAUAAUCUUGGUGAAUCGUAAACUUUUGAGCGGACAUGUGUAUAAGCAGCUGAAGACAUAUCAUCAGGAAGAAUUAUAUCAGAAUACCAGGCAUUUGGAAAAGCUUCAUCAGCUUGAGUGCCAUACCAUACAGCAAGCAUUAGUUCCCCUUUCUUCUUCUUCUUCCCAUCCUUGUCUACUAGCUGAUGCCUUUCCGGAGCCACUGGAACUCGAGUCUGAACUUCAUCGAGAGCAAACUGCACAGACCCAACAAAGUCAUCAUUUACAAGUUCAUUGUCUUUGACCACAACAUCCAAAACAGAUGAGUGCAGAUUUUCCUUAAGAAAUGCAAACACCUCAUUCCAUUCAGGGUUCUGCUUUUUCUCCAAACUUCUUGUAAUUCCUUUGCAGUUCCCAACUUUCACUUCCACAUAUGCGUCACGACAAGAAAGGUCGAGGGCCUUCACAACGCGUACAAACAGGUAAUGCAUUGUUUCGACAAGCUCAUGGGUGCUGAUGACUGGACUGUCUCCACGCACAAAUCGCCCACGAACAACCUGCCCCCCUCCCAAGUAAGGACUUGACUCUUUAAGCAGAUAAUCAGACGGUCGAGAUGAAGAACCUGAGUUCUUCGGAGCAACUUUAGGAGGCUCAUGGGAUUCGGACUUCGCCUCAUGGUUCACCGAUGGCUGCGAUUGAUUUGGGUUUGCAAGGUAAGCCUUCAGAGCAAGCUCUCCUCUCACGCGGGAGAAAGAGAAAACACCUCUUUUUUUAAGAGAGUAGAGCGAAACAUGAGCAUCAGAGUAUGGGACAAAUGAUGUCCCAGGCAGACAAACCUUUCCAAGGAAAGUUGUAGAGUUGGCAUUUCCAUUGUGGAAAACAUUGGCCUCAACAACGAGGUCACGCAGGCGGUUUGGAUCGGAGACAUCAAAGAAGAUGGUUUCAUUCCAAACAUGAUUGACAUCUCUUGCUUUUGUGCUGGUUCGGGCUCUCUGACGAUCGAACAGGAACUCCACAUAAGCACUGGUUGUGCUUUGUCCAUGUCUCAGCAUAAGGUUAUGGGCACUCACAACCUCCACCGCUAACUUGAGGUUACUCAUUCCUGGAUUCGAAGUCAACGAAGAAUAGCAAGAAAAUAAGUACCAGAGAGAGAGAACCAAAAAGGUAGCUGAAAAUUUACAGAUAAUGUUAAAUGCAUGAACAACGAAAAACAGAACCACGUGGUAAAGGUCGAUGACAGAUGGAUGGCACUAUAGUCGUUUAUGAAUAAACAGAGUCAAGAAAAGUGGGUGGAGAUUAGUUUACAAAUGUAGAAAAAGCCGUAUAGAGAAGAGCAGGCCGGGAAGGGAUCCCCAUUUCUUAGAAAAUAAAAUAAAAUGGGGAACCUUCAUCACCGUUAAAUUUAACUUUAAUAAAAUUAUAUGGUUAAAAUUAAACCACAAGAAGAAAACAUAUAGUCUCCUUGUUUCUAUUGCUUUGUAAUUUCUGUUAAUGAGAGAGAUUAAUGUUACUGUUACUGUUCCUAGGACGCACACUUAACGAACCUUGUAAAUAUUAUUUCUUAUUUAUUUAUAUCUCAUUACACACAUAUCCUCAAUUUCACAACAAACCACAAAAAAAAAAAAACAGAAAAGGGAAUUGGAUCCCCUCCUAAGCAAAUGGUGGGGAUCCUCAUGACCACACAACACAGGAUCCAACGGCUAUAAUUAUUAUAAUUCUUAAAAGGAUCAUCUAUUUAUAACUGUUGGAUCAAAAUCUAACAACCUGUGUUGUGUGGUCAUGAGGAUCCCCACCAUUUGCUUAGGAGGGGAUCCAAUUCCAAAAAAAAAUAUAUUCCCAAUAAUUUAUGUGCUACCUACUCCUACAUCGGCCUCCCUUAUCAAUCAUGGAGCUGCGUACCCUACAGAGAGAGAGAGAGAGAGAGAGAGAGAGAGAGAGGGAGAGACUGCUUCAAUGGUCUGAGAAAGCAAAAAAGUUCAAAAGAAUAAUGUAACCUGAUCAGUGUCCGUAAAAGCAAAUUCCUCUACUCUUUCUUCUCCUUGAAUAUUUCAAUUUGUUUCUCCUUGCACUCACUGCAAAUUGAGCAAAUCCGUUUUCUUUAAACCAAAGCUGCUGCUACAUCAAUUCGCGGCCGCCGGAGAAGUCAUGGAUUUGAACCCUGCUGGAGAUCGAGGUUCGAAUUAUUUUGAUAAAGUUCUGUCUAUGGUUAGUUUUGCAUACAAUAAGGAGAGAGCAACCAAUUCCUCGCCAUUCAUUGAUUCCAUUCUCCACAAUGCUCACUUCCUUGUCUUUUUUGCUGUGUAUCUUAUUUGCCGUUAUGUAAAUCACAUAUCACUGUAUCAAGCACUUGUUUGUGUCGGCCUUACCCCAUUGUUUCUCUAUUUCUACAUCAACUAUGCGCCGUUUCUGUUCUUAGAGGAAGACAUCAAGUGGAUUCGAAGAGAGUCGAGGUUACUGCAUGCCAUCGUUGAGGAUGCAGAGAAAAUCAUGCAUUAUAGUGGUCUUAUAGGCGCAAGAGCACGCAAAAUCUGGGAUUCUAAUCCUGAUGGAGCAACCGUGAAAGGAGUUGAUGAAACUGAGGUUGCAUUGUUGGAUAAAGCCAAAUCCAUGGCUUUAAGAGCAAAAAAUUUGGUUGCGACCUUUGAGAAACAGAGGAUCGCAAGAGACUCCCACACCCAAAGAUUAUGUUUCGAUAUGAUCACUGAAAAUUUCCAGCAGGUAUCAGAGCUGUUCACAGAAACUAAGACUGUUAAGCAGGGCAUGAAGGAUAUCUUUGAGGGGAAUAAGGAUUACUGGAUUGGCAUUGGCGAAUCUCUGGAGAGGUCAAGGUCCAGUAUUAUAAGCCUGCUGCCCAGGCCCGUGCAUGGACAUGGUCAACAAAAAUGGGUGCAGUCCAAAGAACAAGUUUCCUCAGCAGCUGCUUUGGCGUCCACUGUCGAAGAGAACAUAAAACGUCUCAUCACUCAAAAGCCAGAUUUAAUGCGUAAAGAUACCGGAAAGCAAAUAAUUUCAAUAAACCUGCAACUGCAGCAACUGCAUCAUUUUCUGAAAGAUGUACAAGGAAUUCGAUUCGAAAGUGAAAUUGAAGGGGCCUGGGUGAAGGAAGUGCACGAGAUGAUUAAUGAAGCACAUCAUGCCAUUGACAAGUACUUGCAGAGAAUUAGGUGGCUAUCAUUUAUCAACAAUUGGAAGGCCGGGAGAAAGCUCAAGGGGGACAUAAGGUGUAUACACGUUGGGUUCACACAACUCUUAGAAAGGAAAGAUAGUUAUGGCUUCAAGUUUUUAAGAAGAGAUUCAUCAAAAUUCGUCUAUCAGUCCCCACAUCAGACUCAAGACGACUUAAUUAUUUCAACUAGAUUAAGCAGGAUGCAGGAGUUCCUCAGUAAGAAGUCACCUUUAUUGGGUGAAGUAUUUUAUGAAGUCACUUCGUUGUGCAAUCAAUUGGAAAGAAUGCAUAAACUCGUACUUGGCGCAUCAGUAACAGGAGGAGGAUAUAAUUCCAGAAUGUCUUGGUUGGAGCAAACCCGGAAAAUUUUUGAUAGUGCAGAGAAAUCUUUGACUACCUUUCAGUGGAAUUCACUCAAUAUGUGGCAAAACCCUCUAUUUAAAACAAGUGCUGGGAGGAAACUUUCCCGUGACAUUGACCUCAUAAAUCAUACUAUUGAUCUUUUCUUGAAAUGCAUCAGAGCAUAUGACAUUGAAGUAAGGGAAGAGUCAAACUCAGUGGUUGGUUUGGAAGAAGACACUGAAGCAGUGGUCUCACAACUGACAACCAACAACGAACACCGCUCGGUGAUUUCCAUUGUGGGGAUUGGGGGCAUAGGAAAGACAACACUGGCAAAGAAGAUUUAUGACAAUGGAGUUGUUGUAGACCAUUUUCCUUGCCGUGCCUGGGUUUCUAUACCUCAGAAGUCUGAUAACAAAGCACUUUUGGAAGAUGUGGCAGAGCAGGUAUUGAGGUCUCUUCAACUACAAGGGGAAAAAAAUCGCAAUGGAUCCUGGAUUCAUAAGGCGCAUGAUGUCUUGAAAGACAAAAGGUACCUUUUAGUUCUUGACGACAUCUCGACGGUAGAAGAAUUGGAGACCCUGAAAGCAGAAUUUCCAGUAACAUCAUCUGGAUGCAAAAUUCUGCUCACUACACGUGACAACAUUGUGGCUUCACAAGCAGACGCUCCCCACCAACUUCGACUUCGAACCAAAGAAGAGAGCUGGAAGUUGUUCACCCAGAUGGUGCACUUUCCGCCAACAGAGGAAUUACUAGCAAAAGAUAUUUUAGAUAAAUGUGGGGGUUUACCACAAGCAAUCUUCCAUGUUGGAUAUCUGAUGUUAGGGAAAGAUGCGAGCGUGGCUGAGGAGGUCAAAGGGGUGCUUAGAUACAUCAAACAGAAUGAUGCACCAUUGUUAGAAACCUUCACUAUAAGGUCCAUUCACUCGUCUCCUCAUCUAAGAAACUGUCUUUCUUACUUCAAACUCUUCCCCAACAACUUUGAAAUUCCGGCAAGGAGAUUAACCGCAUUGUGGAUUGCAGAAGGUUUGGUAGGAGAUCAGGAGACGGAAGAAACUGGCAAAGAUGUUGCAGAUAAGUAUUUGUCCGACUUGAUCCACCUGGACAUGAUUCAAGUAGUCAAAAGAAAGCACAACGGAGAAGUCAAGACAUGUCGAUUGCCAUAUGCUCUACAGAAAUUUGAGUUGCCAGAUAUGAGCCAAGAAAGACUUACUGAUCGUUAUAACAGAAGCGACGAGACAUUUACUCUUAUUCAUGGUGACAGCUCAAACGUUCCAAUUCCUGAUCUCGUUUCCAUCCUCUCCUUUGAUACUCGAGAAGGAAAUAAACCUGGAGAAGAAAUAGGCAACUUUCUACGAAGAGGCAUCGCAGGUGGUUUCUUCCAUCGGCUACAGGUUCUUGAUCUCGAACGUGUAUUCAGACCUGAAUUGCCCAAUACCAUAGGAAAGCUAAAAGAGUUGAGGUAUCUUGGUUUGAGGUGGACUUUCCUGGAAUCAGUCCCAGCAUCCAUAGGUGACUUGCUGAACCUCCAAACCUUGGAUGUGAAACAUACAUAUGUGCACACUCUCCCUGGUUCAAUAUGGAAACUGCAGACACUUCGACACUUGUACUUGAACCAGAGUAAACAGAGUAAAUUUAAGCAUCAACAAGGUGGAAGUUCCCUGAAGAAUCUGCGGACAUUAUGGGGAGUAUUUCUGGAUAAAGAUAGUCCCUUGAUCCACUGGAUGGACAAGCUGAUAUACCUCAGAAAAUUGGGAUUGGCAUUCCAGUUAAGCCAGCCAGAGCAAAAACCAUUAGCAGACAAGAUUGUUAAGCUGAAGAGCCUUCGGUCUUUGAGAAUGAGAUCAAUCGAUGAAAUGGGUGAACCCAGUGAUCUAGUCUGCGUGUGCUUAUCAGGCCUUGAGAGUCUCUCCUGCCUAAAUUUGUUCGGAAAGCUAAAUCCUUCCAUGAUAGAUGAAUUCCCAAAAAAUCUCACUGAUCUUACGUUGUCAGGUGCUUCUCUGUCAGUUGAUCCAAUGCCCGUGUUAGAGAAUCUCUCCAACCUGAAAUUCCUCAGUUUUUACUCCAACUCUUAUACAGGUAUCAAGAUGGUUUGCUCCACCACAGGGUUUCCAAAGCUUGUGGUUUUAAAGUUGUGGAAGCUCCAACAACUAAAAGAUUGGGAUGUGGAGGAAAAGGCAAUGCAAAAUCUGAGGGAGUUGGAGAUAAGAGCGUGCACAAAUUUGAAGGUCCCAAGUGGGUUGAGGCACUUGAAGAAUCUCACUCAGCUGAAAUUAACUAAUAUGCCGGAAGAAUUUGUUGCAACCAUUGCGACAACUAAGGUGCAAAUUUGGGAUGACAUAACUCACUCGCCAACAGUCAUUACCGAUAGCUGGUAGUCUAUGCGGAAUUAGUCACAGGCUCUCUCUCCAGUAAUCGGGUAUGUUUUGGUUUUUUUGUACUGUGUUUAUGUGUACAAGUACUGCGUAAUGAUGCUUGUUUUCUACAUGGAAAUCAUGUUCUAGAUCGAGUGACGCUCUUACUGGUUUAUUGCUUUCAGGUAACAUCGCCCAAUGCAUUUGACGCAUAGGGAACCUGACAGCCUAGUCCAUGUUGAGUUGCAACGGGUGAUAGGUUCUUAUGAACAUGUUCAAAUUUCCUUCAACAAAACUGGGUUUGUAAUGUAAUUAUAUCUUAAGGAAUUGUUGACGUUUGUGUUUAGUACUUGAUCACUGAUUUGCUAAGUUUUCGUUUUGUUAUUUGAUAGUAUGGAUGUUAUAAUAACAGUCACUCCCACUCUUUGUUUUCUUUGAUCAUAUAUUGAUUAUUAAAUACUGCAUUUUCCUAUUUAAAUGAUCGAUCCGAGUUAGUGCUCAUCUUCCUCCUUUGCAGCUUUGCUUCAAGGGAUAAUCUGGUACUGCAUAAUUAAUUUUUUUACUUAAUUAGUGCUAAGUAAUCUAAGAGGUCGCACUUGGUGCGAUGGUAAGUGCCUUCGCUCAUGAACGGUAAGUCUCGGGUUCGAGACUUGGGAGCAGAGCCUCUCCAUAAAUAGGGGUAAGGCUUCACCUCUCCCAGACCAUGCGUGCACUGGAUACGAUCUUUUUUUUUAGUGCUAAGUAAUCUCACAGUUAGUUUAAUUAGGGUCUGUAAAUUAGUGUUAAUAAUCUAACAAUUAGUUCAUUCGUAGAAUAUAGGAUAGACUACUUUCCCCUCUUGAUCUUCUCGGCACCUCGUGAUCAUCGAUAGCUCCCUCAGGCAAUAUCGGGACUCCGCGUAACUCUUUGAGAAGACGACGACCGCGAUCCUCGACCCUUCGAUUUCUCGGUCAAGUUCUCUCUGUAUAUUCUCCCCAUUUCUGAGCUCGUAGUCUAUAAAUGUGUUGAUUUCGGCACUGCUUAACGCAAUGAGAGGUGGUCUGUGAACCCAGUGCGUGUGUCCUCGCCUCUAAAGCUCAGGAACACCUCGUAGGUUUGAACGCCGAGAGGAAGACGAACCGGCGGCGGCGGCGGUUGCAAGGGCGAGGCUGCUGGUAUUCAUUGAUUUCAAGCAAAGAAGUGAAACUCCUGAUCGUUUCCCAAGAUUCCUAGCGAAACUCCUGAUUAAUGUUUUGGAUCGUUGGAAGAUGUGAGAGCAAAAAAUAAUGAAGAAAGUAGAGGGAGAGAAGAUGCAAGAUGCGGCUGAGUAAGAAAAUAUGGGAGGGAGAAAAAAAGGGUUUUUAUCACAAAUGGUCCCUGACAUUGAUCAAACACAUCAUUUUGGUCCCUGACAUUGAAAAUCAAUAGAAAUGGUCCCUUACAUUGAUCAAACACAUCACAAAUGGUCAUUCCGUUAAAAACUUUUUGGGCAAUUUUCAAAGCUUCGUAACUCAAUCGUUUUUUAACCAAAUUCGACCUAUGAUAUAUCAAAAUGAAGAUAGGAAAGUGUAGAACAAGAUUAUAUCUAUUUGGAAGCCCAAUGGUUGCCGAAGAUGGCCGGAAAAUAGCCUCAAAUGUGUCUGGUCCGCGAAAAAACUGGAAAACUCGCCUGAAAUGGGGUAAACUUUAAACAUUCAUAACUUCUUCAAUACUCAACGAAAUUGAGUGAUUCAAAAAUGAAAAUCAUACUUCUCAAUGAGACAAAGAGAAUGGUACCUUUAUUGACUGAUAAUUUACUGUGGUUUGACAGGAAAAUGGCUCGAACUUGGAUAACCAUUUUCGAGUUAGCCAAUUUCGAGUCUUUUUCCGGCCAAACUACGAUGAGUUAGCCAUCAAGAAAGAUACCAUUCUCUUAGUCUCGUCGAGAAGUAUGAUUUUCGUUUUUGAAUCACUCGAUUUCAUUGAUUAUUGAAGAAUUUAUGAAUGUUUAAAGUUUACCCAAUUUCAGGCGAGUUUUCCAGUUUUUUUGCUGACCAGUAACAUUGGAGGCUAUUUUCCGGCCAUCUCCAUCAACCAUUGGGCUGCCAAAUAGGUAUAAUCUUGUUCUACACGUUCCUAUCUUCAUUUUGAUAUAUCAUGGGUCGAAUUUGGUUAAGAAACGAUUGAGUUACGAAACUUUGAAAAUUGCCCAAAAAGUUUUUAACGGAAGGACCAUUUGUGAUGUGUUUGAUCAAUGUCAGGGACCCUUUCUAUUGAUUUUCAAUGUCAGGGAUCAAAAUGAUGUGUUUGAUCAAUGUCAGGGACUAUUUGUGAUAAAAAUCCGAGAAAAAAAUAACAAAAACUGGGAUUGAAAAUUUGAGUUUUAACGAUAAUGACAAAAUAAAUGGUAAAAUGAAUAAUAUCAGGUUUAAUUUUUUAAUGUAAAAAUAUGGUUUUUUGUUAAAAUGAACAGUACCGUGAUCUUUUCGUUAAAAUUCUCAUAAUAAUAUGCCCGCAUUUGUAGUAAGAAGGCUUUUCUUAACAGACCUAGCUUCUCUGUCCUCUCACUUUUCAUAUACUCUCAUCCCCUCUUAUUUGUACGGUCACGGUUAAGUCACGUUCACAUUUUAUAUUACUAUUAUUUUUUAUCUUAUUAUCUCUAUACAAAAAUCAAUAUAAAAUGUUGACAUAGCUUAACCGUGAUCGCACAAAAAGAUGGUGAUGAAAAUGUAUUGAAAGUGGAAGGGCAGAGAAGCCGGAUCCUUUCUUUACAUGGACUUGAUUGAUUAAGUCUAAUCUACCAAUAUAUUAUAUUUAAUAGGCCUUAUUAUUCUUAGAGGUUGUCAUUGUCGACGGCAACGCGAUCAUUAUUCAAAGCAUAAUCAGUUUUUAAUUAAGGUGGAUCAGCUGUUCUUAUUGGUUUGAAACAUUCAAACUAUUAAAAUAUAAUAUAGUUUUGAAUAAUUGCUAGUGGACGUAUUAAACGAGAGUGCGAGAGGCACGAUAACGAUUCUUAUUGAAAAAUUUAAUCCAUAACACAUGAUGCAAAUUAAUUAAAUACAUAUUCAUAUAGGCCAUGAAAUUUAUAAAUCAAGACGUGCUCAAUUAUCAAAUUUAUUAAAAAUUUCUAAGUACCUCAUUAUUUUGUUUGGAUUGAUCAGUUGACCCGAUUAAAAUGCCCACCCUACUUGGGAACCUGCAUUUACAUCGAAUAUGAGAACUUGGCUAGGUCUCGUCCAUGUCCUUAGUACAAUUAUCCAUUAAUGGUCAUAUAUAAUGUAAUGGCAUUUUUUUUUUGAACCAUCAUAUUUGACCAUCAAUAAAUGAUUGCAAUAAGUACUUCAAUCCCUAGCUAAUAUUAUUAAACUCGAAUCGCAACGUUUACAUCGAAAGUCAGAGUAUUAAACAACUCUUGCUCCACGGCUACCUAGUGUCCCCAUUAAAAUUGAAAGAAGGCUAGAUGUGCUCUUAGCAAAUUAUUAUUGGCACUUCAAAAAUCUCAUUUGCACUCCAAACUUUCUAUAAUUAGAAAGAAAAAUGUACUUGUGAGGAUUGUAGAAUGAGAUUGUUGAACUGCUAAUAACAGUUCCCUAAAUAAAUAAAUAAAAGUAAGAUAUAUUCGGUUCGGUUUUAGAAUCAUUGAAACCGAAACCAAACCAAAUGAUUUCGGUUCGAUUCGAUUUUUUGUUCAAUUCGUUUUUUAGGUUUCGGUUCAGUGUUCCCUUCAUUUUUUUUCCUAUUUUUAAUCCACCCUUAGUUCACGACCUUAUUCUAUUUUAAAGGUGGUGUACAGGUUGGUUCAACUGAUGUUGAUGGACGUCAUGGGUUUAUGAACAAACAUAACAAGGUUGCACUGGACAUAGACAAGGUUGCAUUGGACAUGGCACAUGUUUGUGGGUUUUGCAUUGAUUGAAUUGUAUUUUAAAUGCAGACAGAUGAGCCAGAGUUUGGCAAUCAAUGCUCCAAUUAGGACAAAGUCUGAGGACCAAUUCUAACAUUAACAAAAUAUAAUAUGCUAACAUUAAAAUAUAAUCAUAAUGAUUCACAUGUGAUGAGUUCAUAGUCACGUGAUGUUUUAAUAUUGUAUGUAUAAUUUUUUUAAAGACAUCACGUUACGAAGGCCGUUUCAGUUGAAGAGCUUUGCAAAACCUUUAGCAUAGAAUGGAAAAAUGACCAACCAAUGUUGGAGAUGAUUUGUUGGGAUGAACUAAAUAUAACUAUAAAACAGGUAAAAGGCAGUAGCCUAGCGAAGUGCGUGCUACUGCUUUUUACUAUAUUUUUUUCGUAAUAGGAAAAAUGGGCGGUGGAAAGAGGAUGAGAGCCUACGGACCCUAAUGAGCUUGACCACUGGUUUGAUUGAUGGCUAAUAAUUAACAUCUCAUUUUCUAUGAAUUCUAGCACAAUUAGGGUUGAUAUAAGUUAAUGCAAAAAAGUGUGAGCCUAAGAUUUUGGAUUGGAAAAUACAAAAGAUUCUUGAAUAAAAGGAAAAUAACGUAUUUGUCAUGGGUUGUGCGUUCUUUUAUAUCUGUCAUUGACGGAUUAGUCGUCGUUAUCACCAAAUUCAUAUGGUAUAGUAUGAUAGUCGUCGUCACCACCAAACACAUAUGGUAUAGUAUGAUAGUCCUCCUCAUUAGUGUUACCAGGCUCAUAUAAUGUACGCUCAUAAUGCACCUUAUUCACUCAUGAACGUAAAAACUAUAGGAAAAUAAAAAUCGGUAGAGAGUAAGAGAAUUAGUGAAAAAGAAAGAGAGUGGUAGUUUGCAAAAAUGACUUAAUGGUCUGUCUAUUCACAUAACUAUGAAUAUUUUAGUUGAUUUUGUACACACAUUUAAGUGAGUUAUGUAUCUGUUGAAUAGUUUAGAUUCAUAAAUCUGGAUUUUCUUAAUUCUUAAAAUUGGUAUCUUAAUUUGAUAAAAUGUGAAGCAUUUAUCCUUCACACAUUCAUAACAAACGAAACAUGUAACAUACGUUUCAUUUGCUUAAUUCUGCCGACAAUUCUCAUGCAAAUGCUACAAGUUUUAUAAAAUUCUAUACAUCUCGUCAAAUAGAGAAAAAAAACACACCACACAAGGGAAAAAAACGAAGAAAACCCACUUGGUUGGAUUCGACACAUGCAACAUAUAGCCACAACAAGUGUGACCACUACCGAAACUCGAUCUGGUUAUUUUGGGUGACCAAGUGGUUCUUCUGCAUCAAAAGGAGGGAAGUCCUUGCUAAUCUGCUUGCAUCAUGUAACAGCGGGAAAUCAGUGGCGCAAUUGCACUCUCAAACCCUCAAAGCCGGCCUUUUCCAAUACGGCUUCUUUUCCACAAAACUCAACGCUCUGUACGCAAAGUAUGAGUCCCUCGUCAUGCCCGCAAGGUGUUCGACGAAACGCCCCACAGAACUGUCUAUCUCUGGAACGCCACCCUUAGGAGCUCCUGUAGAGAGAAUUGAUGGGAAGAGACCUUGUGUCUAUUUCGUAACAUGAUACCCGAGUCAAGAGGCAAUGAUGAAAAGCCUGAUAAUUUCACCAUUCUCAUUGCUCUGAAGGCGUGUGCGAGGUGAAGGGCACUGGUGUGUGGAAAAAUAAUACAGGGUUUGUGAAGAAACAUGAGAAGGUAGCAUUGAAUAUGUUUGUGGGUUCUGCGGUGAUUAAAUUGUAUUCCAAAUGUAGAGAAAUGGGCGAGGCUGUGAAAGUGUUUGAUAAGUUUCCUCAACCGGAUGUGUUUUUAUGUACUUCUAUGGUUACUGGAUAUGAGCAUAAUGGUGAUCUUGAACAAGCACUGGAGUUUUUUCUCCCGAAUUGUGAUGUUGGGGCUCAUUAAUCCUGACCGAGUGACGCUUGUUAGUGCUGUUUCAGCUUGUGCACGGUUAUCAAAUUUUAGAAUUGGAAGUUGUGAGCAUGGUGUUUCUAUUAGGAACGGAUUCGACUCUGAUUUAUCUUUAGGUAAUGCGUUGCUAAAUCUCUAUGCAAAGACGGGUUUGGUCAAAACUGCCACUAGGUUGUUCACAAAGAUGCCGGAAAAAGAUGUGGCUUCUUGGAGCUCCAUGAUUGCCUGUUACGCUCAUGAUGGGGAUGUAACAUAAGCGUUAAAUCUUUUCAACGAAAUGAUUGAUAUGAGAAUUAAACCUAAUUCAGUGACUCUGGUAAGUGCGUUGCAAGCAUGUGCACUGAUGAGUGCAUAUUUUACCAUUUAUUUUAGCCCAAAAGCUACAUUUUCUUGUGACAUUUUAGACUUAAAUGAAAGGAAUAACAUGGUUUUGUGUUUUUAUAAUUAAAUUAAUGAGUUGCAGAAAAAUCAUGUUAUAAUUCCAUGGUUUUAAUUUAAUCAUGUGAUCUUAUUCUAAUUUAAAUUUCUAUGCCUACGGCCUUUGAUUGAAGUAUGUAGGCUAUUUGGUUUCAGAAUAUACAAUUGGCUUAAAUUGACUAAUCUUGUAAUUUAAUUGCAGGUCACGAAUGAGUAUUAAGUUUGGUGAGUUAUGGGGAAGAAAAGAAAAACACAACAACAAAAUGAAUCAAAUAAAAUGAGGGCAAAAUGAGGGCAACAAGGGGAGUGGACGAAAGGUGAAAGGGGAAAUUAGUUUCUUUGAAAUGGGGUGGGGGGAGACCGAGAGAGGAAUAAACACGACACACACUUGCAUGUAAAUUUCUCUAAUGUCAUUAAUGAAUCAAAUAAAAAAUUAUUAAUUUAUUUGAUAAGAAAAUAAGCUACUUAUAUGUUUAAUUAAGAACUCGUUUGGCAUUGCUUCGCUAAAAACGCUUCAGCUAAAAGUGCUUUUAUUAUAUCCACAUUGAAACUCUUAUUAAAAAUUCAAGUGCUUUCUAAAAAAGACACUUUGGAAUGCUUUCUUUCAUUUCCCAAUUGUUUCUUCUUCAUCGUCAAAGCUUUCGAUAUUGAGAUCAGAUAACCUCAAAUCUUUUGCAAGGUUGGACCUCAUCAGAUGAGUAAUCGCUUAACUCUUUAUCGUCGUCAGAGGCCUCCUCAUCAGACUCAUAUGGUGCAGUCUGAUAGUCCUCUUCCUCAUCAGACUCAUAUGGUGCAGUCUGAUAGUCCUCUUCCUCAUCAGUAUCUUCAUCAGACUCGUAUGGCACACGAUCAUAGUCCACAUAUUUCCAAUCUGAAUCUGCAAAUUCCCAUUCUACGAUAUCCACUCCUGUUUUCUUCACCUUAAUUUGUUGAUCAUCCUCUGUUUCAAUAAAGUCUGCAUGCACACGAACCUUGUCGCCACCUUUCAGAUUGAGCUUCUUGUUCGUAAGAUUUCCCAGCCAAAGAUAACAUUCAUGGGAAGCAGUUACGGUGGUCACCAAUGGCCAAAUGUGAAAACGAGUUCGCUGGGUACGAUUAACAACAUGAAUGCAUAAGGACCCAGUACAGUCUGAGUUGUCCGAAGAAUAAAUGAUGCACACAACCAACCCUCCUAUAUAAUCAAAAGUAAGCGGCAUUUCAAUUUCGACAGUUUCAUCCUGUCGCGCUACAUAGGGUAACCGGCGAGGAAUAUCAUUUACAGAGAGAGAAAGUCCACCAAUUGUAUACCCCUUCCAUUUC
rnacentral:lncRNA from 1 species